GCUAGUACUAUGGCUGGGACCCUAUAUGUACUGUUGAUGAAGUUAGGUGCUCUUCUGAGCAUUAUUUGUGGCUAUAGAGUGGUGUUUUGGUUGAGGUUUGUUUAUGGCUCCCGAGACCGUUGUGUAUUGCUAUCGUGCGGUCGUUACUAAAGUUGGUAAAACUAGAGAAGCAAGCGGUCGGCAACAUUCAUCUCUUGAGGGGGGGUGUCUAACUCGGUGUCACGGUGUGUUUGACCCUAACUUAAUUUUACGCUGAAAUAUCCCUUCAAGUCAAUUGAGACAUUGGCAUGUGGUCCAUACUUUUUCUAUUUUGUAUCUCAUAACCGUCAUUACAACCUCAUUGCUUGGCUGUAUGCAUGAGGGUCGCUGUAUUUAGUCUAAUUCAACAUAUGGUUCUCCUCCACCUCACUCUCCAUUAGGGGGAAUCUGUUUCCCCCUUUUAGUGGAUUUUAUUCCCCAUAUUCUCAGUGCUGGCACAUGCUUUUCUUCUGAGUCUAUGCAUCCAUGCAUAUGAUUAUCCGAGAGUCCAUAUUUAAGAUAAAUGCAUGAGGUAGAUGCUGCCCUGUAUUAAUGCGGCUAAUCUAUUGAGUUUAACGUGUUGUGUUUACUGCUUUGCACGCCGAACGCCUUCUGCCAUUUCUCCUUUCAUGAGUAUCAUAAACAUCACUGACAGGCCGUCCAGCAUGAUAGAGAGGGAGGGAAACAAUCUUUUACGCACACUGAGAGCGAGAGGUGUAUGUACAGAGUGGGUGAUCUGUGUGGCAUAUAAUACUAGAGACUUGAUUUUUAUUAUUUAAAGGUGGUGUAGAGAGUGAAGAAGGAAGGAGGAAAAGAUGGAGAGGGAGGAGAGUCGAUGAGGGGGGCAGCUCUAUGAAUCAUCUGGAGGAGCAGCUGCUGUAUCCCUACCUUUUCCGUUUACUCUCUCGUCUCUCCAUCCCUACUUCCCUCCCUCCCGUCACCCCGAAUUAGCCGACAUCUUCAUUAAUGUGUCAUUACAACUGAGCCAUUCACUGCAACACACAUUCACAUUACACACUUGCAGCUCAUUUGGUUUUGAAUGUUUUCACAGUUUUAACCUCCUCACAGACUGACACUAAAAAACCUUAAACAGUCCAUUUGAUAAACUGCUGCUGCAGACUGAGGGCAUAUCAGUUUAAGUAAUAAACUACAAUUUAAACACCACUAUCCUGCCUGUGAUGGUUAAACUGUUAGUUUAUGAUAAUAUGUUGAAUGGAGGACUGCCUAACAAGAUAUUUGAUCUACAGAAAAUAACAAGAAGAGAAUGGUGGAUACCUUAAAAUGAAACCACACAUACUAUUGAACAAUUUUAGUGUUUCAAGGAGAGAACUGUGGGCUCUAGCAUGCAAGGGACAAAGAAUGACCCUUAAAAGGAUAUUCCGGCGUAAAAUUAAUUUAGGGUCAAAAACACAGGCACACCGAAUUAAACACCCCCUCAAGAGUUGAAUAGUGCCGACUGGUUGCUUCUCUAUGCAUAAAUGCUCAUAAAUGUUCUUCCUUGAGCUCUGUCACCCCGCAGCAGUCCGUAAUGGACUGUCCUGAGGUGUUGCUAAAACCAAGCAGCUGCUGGAAGAGAGUAGGUGAGUUGUGUUUAGUCUCUUUGCUAAAGAAAUCUGGCAAAGUUAAAAAGAUGUUUUAUGUUUAGUGCUAUGGCUAGGACCCUAUAUGUACUGUUGAUUAAGUUAGGUGCUGUUCUGAGCAUUAUUUGUGGCUAUAGAGUGGCGUUUUGGUUGAGGUUUGUUUAUGGCUCCUCAGACUGCUGUGUAUUGCUAUCGUGCGGUUGUUACUAAAGUUGGUAUAACUAGAGAAUCAAGCAGUCAGCAACAUUCAUCUCUCGAUGGGGUAUCUAACUUGGUGUUAUGGUGUGUUUGACCCUAGAUUAACUUUACGCCAGAAUAUUCCUUUAAACCCUCGGUAAAACAUGCAAUUACAUGGUGGCAAAAGUGGAGAACAGUGUAUAAUUUGUAUUACUAAAUGCAUUUCUUGACGGGUUAACAUACAUAAUACUAGCAAGAGAUUAGGAAAUAAGUGAAGCAGCACAUACCACUGACGAAGCUGUGUAAUAACAGAGUACUAACAGGAAAAAAAGCAGUGAGUACUAUAUGAUACAGCUCCCAUCCUCACUAUUAUAGAAAAAGAUCUCCAGUCUCUGUGCUCAUCAGUAAAUCAGUGAACUACUUCAGAGCUCAGUACUCUCCACCUGCAGACAGACAGAGACGUUUUGUCAAACAGAAUGAAACAGUUCUGUUAGAAGCACUCCUACAUGUUCAUUUUCUCUGUCUCCUCUUCCAACUUCAUGGUCUGUGUCUCCCCUCGACCAUUUAGGAAGAGGAGAUCCCGGGUCAAUCAGAGUUGACUGCUGAGUGCACUCUGAGUUAUGACCGUGUGUCCACACUCCCUGUUCUGCCUGCACUCAAACAGGCAGCUGGAAGGAGGCCUGUUCACAGUAAACCUGACCCCUGCUGAACCCCUCAUCCAUAAUCCAUAAAUCCAGUCCAGUCUGUGACACAUGCACAGUCAGGUUUCCACUCUGUUUGCUCUGAAUCCCUCUAUCCUUUUCCCCUGAGGCCCCCAAACACAUACACAGAAGGCAACAGCAGACCUUGACGGCAAAAUAUGCAGAUAUACAUACCAGUUGCAUGUCAUGUUCAACUGUCUUCAAACUGAUCCAGGGUUAGGGUUAGAAAUCCAAAGAAAGAUGGGUUUUGGUCCCUGACAUACUCAAGAUCCUACAAAACACUAUCCAGACCUAUGUGAUAUCAUAUAACUUGAACCACGCUUAUAUCUUUGCUGUUUCUUGUGCCAAAUCAAAAGUAUGAAAAGUUUAGCAAGCUCCAUGUCAGACUUUCUAACUCCAUCUUUCCAUAAGAGCAUAUAAAGGUGUCAUUUUCUCACCCUGGUGUUGCAGAGCUUUUAUGAGAGAUGGAGGUGUCAGUCACUCACACUCAGACCAUGUGUGCACAGUGCAUACCUAGACUAGAACAUUUUAAAGGCACAGUAAUUAACACCUUUGUAGGUAUACUGAGGCUGAGGUUGGCCUCUAGCGUGCAGUAACAGGAACAGUGUGUCAGAGGCCAACAACAGGUGGUUUGAACACCUUCAAGUCUCUGUUAGUCACCUUUACAGAAAACCGCAGUGGCUGUUACUGGCUGAUGAAUCAUUUCAGCUUGUACAAAACUUGAGUUGUGCUGGGCAUACAUAUAUAGCUAUCUUUGGGGUCAGACUUAUGGAAUGGAGGUUGUCCAUGUUAUUUCUGUUAUUAUUGGUUUAUUGAGUGGAUUUUUUCCUAUCUCUGGCUCACACAUAUGUGAUGACCGUGGGCAGAAAAUGUAUUUCAUCUAUCUCUUCCCUUUCUGUCAAAAGUGAUAACAUCUGUUGUCUGUUUUCUACCUCUCUCAGUCCAUAAUUAUAUUUCUCUUUCUCUCUCUGACCUCAGUAACAUACACAUACACACCCACACAUAAGGCGAAAACACACUCUCAUCUUCAGGAUUUAUUCACUCUGGCAGCUAUGUCUAAGACCCUCUGUUUCAGGGAUAUAAUUUAGCCUUUUUGCAGAGGAGGCUUUUGGAGUCACAUUGACCUCCUCAGACAGAUAAAAGUAGUUUCUCUAUCUUACUGUUGUUCUGGCGAUUAUGUCUCAGUAUUCCUCUGUCCUCUGGUUGACUCACCCACAGUGCUUUUUCCUCAACUUCGAAAAAGUGCUUCAGACCACAAAUGCAACCCUUUUACUGAAAUGCUUUCUCUCUGAAUCAUCUUGGUUUUCAGUCGGCACAUUAUGAUUACUUGAGCACAAAAGUUUCAUUAAUACCUAAAAUGAUAGAUUUAUCAGCUAUAAUAGGGAAGAUGGUGACAACGGUUACUAAUCUUCCUAAAUGUGGCUCUGGCUCUGGUAGAACAAGUAAAAAGUUCUUCAGCUUCUAAUGCUCCAGUAGUAGUAUUGUUACAGAUUACAGUAUAAUUACAGUAUCUAUCUAUCUAUCUAUCCAUCUAUCCAUCUAUCCAUCCAUCCAUCCAUCCAUCCAUCCCAUUGGAUUUAAGGUAGGGUUGGUAAUCUGAUUUAGAUUACUCUUUUUGUUAUUCUGGUGAAAAUGAUCUUUAUGUUCCGAUGGCAGUCAAUACAUGAUGUGUUCUUAAAAAAGAGUGAAACAUAGCUGCUAUCUAAAAAAGAGCAAGAAAAGAAAGAGAGGCAGAAAAGGCCGAAGCAAGACAGAGUUUGGAGAAAGCAAGGGUGAAAAUGAAAGUUAACAUUGGGACAGCUUUUCAGCGAUGAAGAGAACUGAAAGAGGUCAAGGGCUUCGAAAGUGAUCCCAUAGUCGCUCAUUUUCUAUCGGAAAGGUACGUUGAUGGUUUGGUACAGGGCGAUUUUUAAUCUUGAUCAUGUAUUUAGCCAUGUUGCUAGUUAUGUGGUCAUCCUGAUGUUAACAUUACCUUUGUCCCUGCUGUUUAAAGACUUCCCAAUCUACCUUUAUUGACGCAGCCAUUGGAUUAAAGUUUAGGAAGACGAUAGUCUUACAUAUUGAAAAAUGAGCCAAUCAAAUUUGAAGUGAUCAUGCAGUGAAGUUUGCAUGAUCAACCUACCUCUGCAUCAUCUUUGACUAGUGUGAAUCAUAUACACCUGUAGCUUAUUCUUACUUAGUUUGAACUUGGGCUGUAAGGUCCUGGUCAACUAGUUGACCUAUUGGUUGAUAUGUGCUGAGUCGACCAAAAUUCUGAUUGUUCAACCCAAUUUUUCUCUGUGUCAAUUUGCAGUCUAUGGUUAAAUUCAUCAGGAGGAACGUACCAGUGCUAAUGGGCAUCCCCAUUUCACAAGUAACAGCUGUUCUCUGAACACCCUCCUUGUUUUCACUAUUUUGGAUUCGCCCAACCCACUGGAGACCAGCUAGAGACAGUAAAAUGUCCAUGUCAAUCACCGUCCGGUGGUUUGCUGAAUAUUUAUUUUUAUUUUGAGCAUUUCAACUUGCCUUUUGUGUUUAAUUGGUGUCUUCUGCUGCCUGCGCUCUGCUGACCCACAUCAUCCCCUGUCACAGACGGGUUUGUACCCCCUCUGAUUAGUUGAUUUUUGGUUAGGGUCAGGGUUAGGGUUAGGUUUUUUGGUUGAAAAUUUCAGUCGACUUUCAUUUAGUCGACCAAGAAUUUCUUUGGUUGAUUACAGCCCUACUUUGAACUUAAAUUGGUGUUUUUUCGUAUUCUCACUGAAAAAUAUCCACUAAAAUAUACUGGUGUGUGUUGAAAUGAUGCAACAAAGAGACCACAUUAAAUCUAUUUGGUGGAUAAACACCUAUAAAACCUCAUCUAUAGGACUAAUGUGCUGACAAUACUGCUAUAGCUAUUGUUAUGCACUUUUUUUUUGGUCUUGUCCCUAUGUCUGUUUACUUUGUUGUUUAAAAUGUGAUCAUUCUUUCCAGUUCUCUUGCCAAGUCUGAAUGUGGUUUUCAGUGACCGCCUCCUGAACUGCAUCAUUUCCAGCAAGAGUUUUCUGGCAACAUAUUAUGAAAUGUAGGGAUGUUGGCAAAACAAAGCUCUCCACCUGCCAGCUAAUGAGCAAUUAUUCAUAUAAAGAAAAAAGGUUUUUUUGAUGUUAAGCACGCUCCAGCUUUGAACCAAACCUCAUUUUGAUUUUAUGUGUAAUUACAUUUUAUUUCUUUGUGGCUUUUGUUUUCGCGUUCUGCUCACUCACAGGUUUCCCUAUACUCAUUAGUCAUGCUCAUAUCAGUAAUAGGCCAGAGUCCCAGCCCUGUUUACUAUGAAUUGUCUUUAAGCUAAAUUACACAAAUUACCAAACGGCAGUGAAAGGUUCUGAAAUUGGACCAACCAAUUUAUGAGAUGAGUUUUGAUUUAAAAUAUUCUUGUUAACUCGAGAGGCCAAUCACUUCACCUGUUCACAAGUGGACAAGAUGUAUUGAUUGAAACGCUGGUAGUUCAAUGCUUACCUGCUUUACUGCACUUUGAGGUCAGACUGAAGGAGAUGAAGUUGUAUUGAUGCUUUGACACUGUUUACAACAGCUGCCUUUUAGGAAAUAAUGAUGCCAAAUCAAUGUAUCUCCACAUCAUUAUUCACUUCAAAUGAGAGAGUCUGUUAACUCCCAGCUCUGCAGGACAACAAGGGCAUUUAUGAUAGGUUCACAUCUGAGAAAUAGAUGUUUCUAUUUAAAGCAAUAAGAGCAUUGAUUGGCUUGUUUGGACUGUGAUUAGAAAGGUUAUUGGAUGGAGGCCACAGAGCAGCUGCUGAUGAGACUACAGAGGAUGUGUGGGGGGAAUUACUCUCGCUUGCUGUUUCACACACACACACACACACACACACACACACACACACACACACACACACACAGAGCACCUUUUUUUCUUUUUUCUGCUGGGUUAGCUACACAUGUAUAUAUAUACAAACAUAUCCACAAAAAGAUCUUAGCCAUUUCAAUUUACCAAGGUUAGUUUAAUAUUCAGCACACUAAAGGGGAAAAUUAAAUAUGCAAAAACUGAUGAUGGAAAUUGUGCUUCAUGGAAGUUCAAUAGGUACAGGCCUUUUCAGUACAAAUGUAUUGGCGAGAUUGUAAAAAACAGUCUGUCACAAAACAGAAUAAAUAAUCUUUCAUGCUUGAAAUAAAUUGAUUUUUACAGAUACCUGAAGAGGGAAAUGAAAACACAGAUUGAGGGAUAGUUGCCAGUAUGAGGAAAAAAAGGUUAGUUCAUGGAGGUUUUGGUUCGUCUGUUCAUCAGGAAACAUUACCCACAUUACCCAGCAUGCCUCACAGCAGCUGUCAGUGUCCCCCUAACAGUCAUUCAUGGCUGGCUCUGCUUUGCUGAGAGGAAACAUUUAGUGUAAAAAUCACAGUCUGAGGGUGAAAAAAAGAGGAGGAGAGUUUGUGUUAGAGCAGAAGAGAGGGCACAGCAGUGAUAGCCAGGGGCUUUUUGUGGUUAAAUUCACAUUUUUCAAUUUAAUUUCAUGUCUCUGCUUCUCCCUCACACACAUGCGAGGACAAAAUCGAGUAACACUGCACAAAACAGGAGGAAGGAUUUUCAGUAGAAAUAAAGCAGCAACAUGAGCUUCAAGGCAGUGGCAUGGACAGUAAUGUGGAAAACACAGAUAAACUCGUUUUCUGAUAGUGAGAAAAAGAGACCAGAGACAUAUCGACACAGAGAGUGGCGGGCGUGUGUGGGCAGUCGGAGAUCUAGCAGAUUCCUCCUGAUGUUUUUUUCUGAGGGCACUUUCCUGAUCUUUGGGGUCCCAGAGGAGUUUCUCACUACAGACCUCCUUUUUCAACCAGAAAGCACUCAAACUCCAGGUCACUGCACUGUUAGUGAUGACACAUUAAAAACAUGGCUGCAGGGCCGAAACGCCAUUGUUGCCAUAGUGAUAAAAGAGCUGGGAUGGCUAAUAUCCCCAGAGCACAGAGACUGUAAAUAAAAAUAUCACUCAUGUCUCUGUGGCUACUAUCCACACAUGCACAUGAUCUCACAAAACAGAUCAUGUGCAUGUAAAUGAGCUUAUUUUUCUAAAGGGAUAUUCCGGCGUUAAAUUGAUUUAGGGUCAAAAACACUGUCACACCGAAUUAGACUCGUUAGAGAUGAAUGUGGCCAACCGCUUGCUUCUCUAGUUUUAUCAACUUUAGUAACAACCGCACGAUAGCAAUACACUUCAGUUUGAGGAGCCAUAAACAAACCUCAACCAAAAUGCCACUCUAUAGCCACAAAUAAUGCUCAGAACAGCACCAAACUUCAUCAACAGUACAUAUAGGGUCCAAACAUCUUUUUAACUUUGCCUAUUUUCUUUAACAAAGAGACUAAGCACAACUUAGUGUAAAUACUCAUCUAUUAAAAGUAGUAGUUAGUUAUCAUGACGGACUUGGGUCUUACUGCUGUAAAUCUCAGAUUGUAAACCCAAAUAUGAAUCACUGUGUUGUACUAAUACUGAUUAGUAUACUAACCCAAUAUCAAUUUUGGCCCCCAAAAUUCACCAAAUGAAAUAGAGAAAGAAGUCACCACCUACUGAAUAACAACAGCUAUUUACUGGAAGAGUGAUGUUUGUCAAAGUUUGCAAAAUGUCAGUUAUGUUAAAGUCUAGACCAUUUGUACAUAGACCAAGUCAUGACUGAAACCAGUACCAGUGAAGAGAACUUGUAGUUAUUGAUGCCUGAGGAGGGUAAGUGUUGAACCUGUUGAUUUACAGUAAGCUGGAGCAACAGCUUUCUAUUUACUAUUUGGAAAUGUACUCACAUUUUGCAGUUAAGAGACAUCAAGAUGCGGCAUUUGUCUUAAGAUUUGUCUCUCAUGUACUGGACUCCUGAUAAUGUCCACAGGGGGCGCCAAAACCAAAUGAAAGGCAAAAGCUCCUCACAGCAUCUUUAAAACAAAAGACACUCCAUCCAUCCAUCCAUCCUUCCUUCCUUCCUUCCAUCUAUCCAUCUAUUCAUCCAUCCAUCCAUCCAUCCAUCCUUCCUUCCUUCCAUUUAUCCAUCUAUUCAUCCAUCCAUCCAUCCAUCCAUCCUUCCUUCCAUCUAUCCAUCUAUUCAUCCAUCAUCCAUCCAUCCAUCUGCUUGACCAUCCACCUACUUUCCUCUAAUGUUCUUUUGGAAACAGGCCCAGUAACUCAGGCCUGACAUCCCUCUCUUUGGCAGUAUUUUCUGGUUUCCCUCUGAGGAUCCUCCUGAGUUCUUCCCAGUCCAGAUAAGAUAUGUAAUUCCUCCAGCAAGCUCAGGGUCAACCUUUGGCCCUCUUCCAGAUGCCCAGGAGGCAUCCCAAUCAGAUUCAAGAACCACUUCACCCUCCAUCAAAUACCUAUGUAUCACGGCUGACCGCAAGAUACCUUGUAAAUGAAACUCCUUUCAGGGGCUUGAACCAGCGAUCUCAUCCUCCCUUUACCCUGCAAGUUUAUCUGAAAAAUCUUUAUUCCUUUGAAAUCUUCUGCAGAGGAGAAAUUUCAGGAACUGUCACAAAAUGUAAGGAUAUAUCUCAAAACUUUGGCUUUUUCGAUUUGAAAGUGCAACAGGAGUUUGUUGGUUUACAGAAAGAACCCCUUGAUCUAUGAUUGUAUGAAUCACGACAUCGACUUUGAUUUCUUUCAUGCUGUUUUUCUUUUCCGACUCUGCUCUGCUGGAGACAAAUCAACAAGAAGAAACCAUGUAUUUAUCUUCUUCAGUAACAAGAGAAAACAACACCAACCACUACGUCCAACCUGCUGCCCCCCACACACAUAUAACUUUGAUAUUUUAUAUGGAUUAUUUUGCUGUUAACUCACAGUGGUUGCGCUGUCUUGUUUACAAUUAUCAUAUAGGCCCAUCAGUGAACGUCUGUGUCUUAUACGCGAUACUGUUAUAAAAACAAACAUUUAACACAAACCCACAGGGCCUUUAUUUAAAGUGAGACGGCCACGCUCUUAAUCAGAUUAUCUCCCACUCUGUAUACAAACUUAAUUCACCCUCAGUCAACAUUUGCAUUGUGAACACAACAAAACAAAUGAACAUAUUUGCUCUCUGUCUGACUGGAUAACUGAGGCAGAGUAAAUGUAGACUAACAGAAACAGUAACAACACAGAGAUGUGCAGGCCUAGAGUGACUGAGCCCUGAGCAGUCAGAUCAUGUCUGUCCAGAGAUUCACCGCUGACCUGAGUUCAGGGUGCUGGGAGCAGCGGAGUUCUUGUCUGAUCUUGAUGUUUUUCUGUGUCAGAGGGAGGCUUAUUAAAUAUCUUGAACAGAAAGUACAAAACACAACAGAGAAACAGGACACACACUGACGCAUCCAGGGUCAAAGUUUGACAGAGAAAUGAUGAUGUGAAAUCAAGUCUCUGGGGACUCAAAGAGGACCGAUGUUCAACACUCACUCAGGAGUUCAGUUGGAUUUGAGCCACAUAUAUUUGUAUCAACACAGACUGUCUUUUUAAAAUGGAAUUUUGAUAUUGUGUUAAAAAAAUAAGCAUAUGGUAAUGCUGUGUGUUCUCUUUAUUGGUCCUUUACGCUGGUGGCAUGAAACAGAGGAGAGAUGAAGAAGAAGCAGCCUUUAGCAAGCUAGCAAUAGCAGCCCUUUAAAAGGGAUAUAUCAUGGCGUAAUAUCAAGUUAGGGUCAAACACACCGUAACACCGAGUUAGACAGCCCCCCUCGAGAGAUGAAUGUUGCCAACCACUUGAUCAUAAAUGUUCUUCCUUGAGCUGCGUAACCCCACUCGGUACUCGUCAGGGCUCCCCCUACAAACAAGCGGCUGCUGGAAGAGAGUGGGUGAGUUGUGUUUAGUCUCUUUGCUAAAGAAAUAAGGCAAAGCUAAAAAGAUGUUUGGUGGCUAGUGCUGUGGCUGGGACCCUAUAUGUACUGUUGAUGAAGUUAGGUGCUGUUCUGAGCAUUAUUUGUGGCUAUAGAGUGGUUAAGGUGUGCGCGUGGAUCCAUAGACCACUGUGUAUUGCUACCGUGUGUUCAUUCCUAAAGUUGGUGUAACUAGAGAAGCAAGUGGGGAGGUGUUUCUAUUCGUAUCAAUAUGCAUGUUUAACAUAGAGCAGAACUGAGCUGAAAACACCAUGGAUAUACAGGCUGUAUUUAUAUUGCACAUACUCUAAUCUUUUGACCACUCUAAGCGCUUUUACAAUACCUGUAACAUUCACUUAUUCACACCACAUUGAUGAGCUGAUGGCAGACUCUGCUACAUGUGAUUUCCACAAGCAUGAACUAAUCCCAUUCAAAGGGCUCCUCAGCACCCGUCUCUGCCACUGAGCCACAGCUGCCCGUGGUGAAGGCCGAGAGAUAUUCCUUCACUCAUUUAUCUUCAAAUGCUCUCAGUGCUCUCUGAUAAAUAACCCUCGCUCUCUCUCUAACUGUUGUUCAGCAGCCAAACAGAAAGAACACUUUCUCUCAGUGAGGAAAACCUGAAACCUGACUGGUGUGUUGUUACAGGCUGCUGUUAUGCAGGAACUGCUGGCUGUAGUGUGAUUGGAGGGGAAGCAGGAUUUGCUUAAGUUUUGGUCCAUCUGCUGAUUUAUAGCCUGUUGAAAAAUUAUACUCUCAGGAAUUUAGCUUUUAGACACCCUGGCCCAUAAUAUUUUAAUGAUAAAUGCUUUUGCUGACAGCUCCUUCUUCCUUCCUUGUACUCUCACUGCCAGCUUGAUAGUUUGGGUUUUUACACCCCGUUUCUGUGUUGGUGCUUCACUCUAGCAUCACUCCUCUCUCUCUCUUCCUCUGUUAUCCAUCUUUUUCUCCUCUACUUCACUAGACAAUGUUAUUCAUCACUCUGGCAACCAAGCAGUGUUUUCAUUAUCAUCGCUUGCCUCUUACUGUCACCUGGUUAAAGACAGAUGUUGAGGUCAUCAGCAGAAGACAGAGAGGGCCGUAGGAGCCAUUGGUGAACGCUGCUCUUCAUCUUUAUGGUGUCGAGUUCAACAACAUUGUGUGGGAACGCUUCUGCUGCGUUCCAGUUACCUCGGAAGUCGGAACUGGGAAUGACGUCACACCGGAAUUGACAGCGUUCCAGUAAACAAGUCGGAAAACCAAGAUGGACGCCUACUAUUAGUCGUUGUUAGCUGUUGUUUACAACUGUCAGCCAUUGUCAGUUGUUGUUAGUUGUUGUAGGCUAUACCAGUUGAAAACAACAUAUAACAUAGUAUUUUACUCGUACAAACACCAUAGCACCGUGUUCACAGUUAGACAUUGGGUCGUACAACAAAUUCCACUUAUGCUGCAUUCGAGUUUCCUGUGUUUCGGUUACCAAGUCGGACAAAAGCAAAAUCAGAGGCGAAAAACAAGAUGGCUACAUCUACGAAAGUUAUUUGAGCGCUUGCCUUUUCCAAACAUAACAAGGACAAGGCAAGCACUGAAAUAACUCGAGUAGAUGUAGCCAUCUUGUUUCUGCCUCCGAUUUUGUUUUUUCCGACUUGGUAACUGAGAUGCUGGUAAUUCAGGUGUGACAUCAUUUUCAGCUCCAACAUCUGACUUCAUAAAAUUUUACAAAAACAAAACAGAAUUUCUCAUAAAUAAUACAUUACAAGAGCUUUCAAUGUUUACUACCGAUGCACUGCGCUGCCAUCUUAGAUUAUGAAGUUGUCGUCAAGUUGGAGUUGGUCAGGAUCAUCCGACUUUCCGAGUUGGAAAUCCAACUUCAAGGGGGCGUUCCAGAUUAAUUUCCUACUCGGAGCUCAGAAAUCCUGACUUCUGAGUAAGACUGGAACACAGCAUUCAUAUUCUUUCCGACCAUGUUUCUCUUCUGACUCUGAAAUUCGACCUCAGACUUGGCCUAAUGACAUUGCAUUUAUAAAUCCCAUAAUUCCCAGCCUGCAACUGUAACCUCAGGAUGCAUCUUGCACUCACUGCAAGAUCUGCACACUGUUCCUCUAAACCCGAUAAGUUUUGUAUCACUAAUUUUCCUUUUAGAGACACUGUAAACUGACCCAUCAUCAUCAGACAGCUAGGAGCAUCUUUUUUCAUCAGUGCGUCUACGUGAGUUAUCACUUAUCUGUAACACUCAGACACCUCUGCAGCAGACAUUGUGCCAAUGAAGAAGAAGGUGAGAGUCUUUCUUCCUUAAUGUCACUUUUAGUACUUCUCAGUACCUCUGUCCGGGAGAGUGGAGCUAAUUUAAAUUCAUGUUUCAUCUGGAGAGGAAGAAACAGAGAGUGUGUGUGCAUAAACUUGUGUGAUGGCUGUGGAUGCAUAAUCAGAGGAGUGACCUCUGUGAACACUGCACCCAGUGCUGCUGUCUUCAAUAUGCCAGGUCAGAGAGGUGAUGGACUCUGUCCCCCUUUGAGCUGCAUUAUCACUGAAUCUUCUCUCGGUGUGUCUCCACCUGCUCGCUCUUAAAUAUACAGAAAUAGCUCUCUCACUUCCUCUCUUCUCUCAUUCUCUUUGUCUCUAUCAUCUCACCUCCUUCCACCUCAUGUACCGUUUAAUCACCUGAUCACCCCUGAGGCCAACACCUACCUGUCCCGGGUCAAAAGGUUUCUGUCAGGCUCUAGCUAAUACAUAUGUAUAUGUCCGGUCUUAAUCAAACACACAAACCUUAAAAAAUGAUGUGCUAAUGUCGUUAAUGCUCCACUUCUCUAUUUCUAAGUUGAACCUUAAUAGAAGAGGGGAAGUGAAAAGAGGAAGCUAUGGCUAUAAUGAGCUUAAGAGGGAGAUUUAAACAUUUUAGGACUGAUGGGGAGACAUAAUUCACGUAUCAGCGGUAGGAAAAGACUAUUUUGAAGUUUACGGAUGGAAAAAUGACACAAACUGAUGAGCAGAGACCACACAUGAUUUGAUUUUCUGGAUGCAAAAAGACCCAGGAACAAUUCUACGCUUGGUGGAAGCAUUUGAACCAGACAUAUUUUGACUUUUGAAAGAGCGGCCAAGCUAAGCAGCUACAGUCCUGCUUCCUUCAUGUAUCCUCUCUGACACCAGCAAUUGCCUUCUUUGGUUUCAGGUGGGCUCUGAGCAAGGUUACCUUUAAGCUAACUUAAAAAGGGUGACCAUAUGUCCUCUUUUACCUGGACAUGUUCUCUUUUUGGGGGGCUGUCCAGCCUUGUCCGGCUUUGUCUGGGGAAGUUUAUAAAAUCCGUCAAAUGUCUGCCAUUUUGUACAGAAGUUUCGAGUUUGUGUCACGUGGACUUACUGAGUUAGAAGUGCAUAAAAGACACUCGAUCCGACCCGAAAUACUCUCAAAAUUAACUUGGUGCAACUCCGUGACUCUGCCCCCACGUAGUUGUGUCCUCUUUUUUGGGAAGUCAGAAUAUGGUCACCCUAACUUAGCAUGUAGAAGUUGGCACAUGAUUGAGGAGAAAACGGACCACAAAGUCUUUGCUUUUUUCAGUGGACACAGUUGAGGACACAGCUUUAUGAGGAUGGCUGCUCAUCAGAAAUGUCAGAGAUGGUUAGUACACUUCGACUGCAGAGGGCAGGCAGUUCUCCUGAACCUAGUGCUUUACCUACCUUGCAUUUGCUUGGUCACUUUUUCUGCCUCAUUAACUCUGCCACUGUUCUAAUGAUAAUUCAAAGUCCUGCAUUACAUUGUUCCCUUAAGGUAAAACAGUUAAAACAAAGAUUUUCCAGCACUUUCUGCAGAGUAAAGAUUGACAUAACCCAAGAGGAGCUGGUGCCAUACAAGCAGACAUGGAACUGUUUCAUCUACAGGCAGAUUCAGCAGCAGUCAUGGCAGGUUUUGCACCAAGCGUUGACCAGAAAAGUUAAUUACAUUUAUUAUCUAAGUAGAAGAGGAGUGGAAUACAAACUGAACAGCCUCUUGCACUGUGUGGUCUCCCUCGGGGACAAUCACCUCUCUAACAACAAGCCAGAUCUACCUUAAAGCUUUUUUAAAUGACUCUGCAAUUUAUUCCAAGAUGCAGCGCAAUUGUUUGGUUUCAUAUUUCACUGCAUUUGUCCCUGCAGAGCAUCUGCGUCUCCAUAUACCAUUCAGUUGAUGUAGUGUAUAUCUGCCUGUAAUGUCUCCGGUUGUAUGGGGCCAUUGGGAGUAAUAAAACAGGCAUAAUCAGCACUGUUUGAAAACAUGCUGAGAUACAGAGAUUUAUAAGAUCCAAUUUAAAGAUAAAAGCAUCUCAGAUUAUUUCAUGUCAUCGAGUAAAACUACUUCCACUUGGUGUUAGAAUAAGUUCUCAGUUUCAAGUUCUGUUUUGUCAUUUUUCUUUUUUUUAUCUUUCUCUUUUAGUAUAUGAGUCAUUUCUAUGUUUUACAAGAGGUGUUUUUAAAAUCAGAACAUGCUGAGAUCAGUGUUUCAAAAAUUCCUCUGAGAAGUCUUGAAAGGACAGUAUGAAAUAGAGAAAUUCAAGGUUCUUACAAAUGUUUUUAAGUUACUCUAAAGUAGGGCUGGGCGAUAAACUGAAAAUUUACCGAUACCAAAAUUUACGACAAUAACCAACAUGAUUUUGCCCAAUUCGAUAUAGUCAGUGUCAAAAAAAUUAAUAAAAGUUGAUUUUGGAUGUGUGUAGGUAGGCUAUGGUCUCAUGUCCCUUAAAGACGCUGUCAGAGACAUGACUCCACCCCAUCCAGUCUGUAACAAAGAGGGAAAGACAGGUGAGGAGAUGGUGGACGGUUCAAAAGUUGUAGAGGGUGAAGUAGACGAAGUUAAUGUGGGAGGGGGUGAGCAGCUUCUGGAGUAGUUAUCAUCCAUUUAUCGUUAUCGAGGUGAACUGCUCAAAAUAUCGUGAUAUUGCUUUGAGGCCAUAUCGCCCAGCCCUACAAAAAGUAUAGUUUGCAUGUAAUUUUUCUGCUUUUUCCUAAAAAUGUAUCUUUAUCCUCCAAAAUAUCCAUGAGCAAUUUAAGUCAGUUUAUGUCAGGCUUUAUUUAAAUCUGAUUCUGUCAAAUAAAACUUUCAGAGCACAUUUUAAAAAAAGAGUUAACAGCUGAAAUCUAUAGUCACACUCUUAAAAUAAAGGAAAACUCGCCUGAAAACGAGACAUUUUCUGCUGAGCGUGGUCUGCUCUCACUCUCUCCUAUCACACUUUCUGACUAUAAGUAAUUAAUCACAAUCCUAGUGCUCACUUCCUCUGGGAGGAACUUUCUCCCCUCAGGAGAAAAGAAACCUGCAAAGGUCUGAAGGAUUUUAGUUCUCAGCAGCUUCACACGUCAAACAGAUAACACAUCAGGCUGAAGCAGACGACAGGUCAGAGCUCCUCUCUACAACUGACUGUCUUUGAAACCAGGUGUGUUUGAGUUCAGUGUUCAGCCUCAAUAGAAAGCAUCCCCUUCACAAAAAAUGUAACAUGAAUCAGUGAGAAAAAAUGUCCUCCACAUGAGCUGUGUUAGUGAUCGAAGCACACAGAGAGGAGAAACUGUGAACUUUGUAGAGAGUUUAUUCUGAUCCUGAGGCUGUAUGAGGAGUCAGACUGUUAUCAGCUCAGUGUUAUAACAGAGGAAGCUGACAUAAACUCUCAUCUUAUGACCCCAAAGUUAGACUUUUACUCCAGUUGGAGCACUUUUUCUUGUAACCUUUUUCAGAUCCAGCCAAUGAAUUAUAGUUGUCCACAAAUUCAAGUCUUUACUCUGACCUCGGAGUCCUUUUACUGUGUAAUCAAAAACAAGGGUGCAAAGCUUUGAAGAGAUUUGAACCAAUAAAAGAGAGUCAAUGGGUGCAGAUGGCACAUUUACAGCUCAGGUUAAGGACCCAAUCCCCUUCGGGUCACUCAUACACAAAAUUUAAACUCUUAGACGUCUUGUAAAGCACUUCACGUAAAAGCAUCCACGCUGAGAUAUGUUAAGGGCACACAUUAAACUGAGACUUUCACUUCAACCCUUUCCCUUCAUUGUCUCUGCACACAUCUAGGUGAUAUUUUCCUGCCACAUAUUCAACCUCCCUCACUUCUUCUUUUCUACCAUUUUUCUCCUGCCAUUCAUUCCCCUCUCUUAACGCCACCUUUUAAAGCAAAAAAAGUGCACCGCAGACAGGAGAGGGUUGAAAAGUUGGUUCUCAAAGGAAGCCAAUUUACGCCGAACAUAAAAGAGAAACAUGAUUUUUUUUUUAUCCCUGAAAGAGGCUGCCGAUGCUCUCUACAACAGACCAAAAAGCUGUCAAACCUUCCUUUGAAACCAAUGAGAUCACAUUCCUCAGUCACAGACGUUUUUAAAGAGGAAAAAGGACAAAAAUGUCAUCCGAAUAAUACUAUUUCAGGGCUGACAUUUAACACAGCACUUUACCUGAACAGAUGGGAACAUUUCCAGAGCUAUUGUGGGGUCUUUUUAGCUCUCUGGUAGAGUUUGUCUUGAAACCGAAGCCUCUGGUCUUCCUCUAAGGAGUCACAGCAUGAUAGAGCUCCACCGCAGGAGACCUCACAGGAGUGUAAGUGUCGUGUCUGACGUUUGUGUUGGGAAACAAAAGCAGAAAGGAUGUCGUAACAUGCACUUAGAAGCUGCGUGGUGUGUUUUUAUUUCCACCGAGUGUGCUGUGAGAGGUCAAAGGAUGAGUGUGAGUCAGAGCUCUGUUUUCUGAGGGAUUCGUUAUGUAUCCUCCAGGUAAUAGCGGUUUGUUUGUGUGUAAAAGAGAAAGGGAUAGAGGUUGGCAGAUUACACUUGGUGGCUCUCACAAGAAGCAGAACCUGCAGCUACUCCACCCACCUCCAACGUCACACACAGCUGAAAAGUAUUAGACCGCAGUUAGUUUCAGUUUAAUACGAUAUAUUAGCAACAAAGUAAUGGUUAUCAAAUUCCCCAAAGACACAAUGAUAAUGGGAUGAGUGUUGGGAGUAGAAUUGGGCAUUUUAAGACAGUCCUUUGAUCGAUUAAUCAUGUAAACUAAUGAUCAAUCAUCGAUAGGGUUGGGCAUCGAGUCUUGAGCAUCGAUGGGGACCGGGGCUAACAUUCCAAUUCUCCUAGAAUUGUUCAAAUUUUAAAAUCUUGAUUCCAAGUUUCGAUGCCGGAGUCCGCCGAACACCAACGAGGAAGAUGCCACUAAACACCAACGAAGAAGAAGCCGCCGAACGCUAACGAAGACGAAGCGUAUGAGACGAAUCCCCACAGAGAGAGAGUAGAGACAUAGAGAGAGAGAGUGCAUUUCAACCCACAGUGGCUGUGGUAAAAAGUUUGGCUAUUUUUAGCAGGAAGGAUGAACUCUUAUCUCAGUGCAACAUUAGCAACAUAGUUAAAUCAUACAAAGGAGGGUGAACGACCAACAUGAUUAAACACCGCAGGAUUCAUGGAGGAGAAAUACCUGAGUGCCCGUCUUUGACGCACUGCGCCGGUCUUUCCCCUCGCUUUUUUCACUUUGGCAGGGCGUGAGGGGGUAGGGAUAUGACGUUGAUAUAUGUCACCCCUUAUGUCGUAUGUCUACGCCAUACCAGGCGGGAGAUGAGCUAGCACUGUUUUCGGGGCUGGGAGAGAUGCUUAAGCUAGCAUUCACAAGAGAAUAAGCAUCACUACAUUUGGUCUUUUUGAAGAAUAUAUUUUCAGUAGGGUUGCUGAAUGUUUGGGGACAGUUCGGUGAUCCAUGACCAGUUUUUUAAUUGUUUUGUUAGCAGCAAACACGAUAGAAAGGAGCGAGAACCCCGGAUUGUCAAUAUCAUCUGGUGCAAAACUGGCAGGGUAUCAGCAGCAAGCACUCGCGACCAGAAUAACGUAAUCAGUGGUGCUGACAUGCCGUGCCUAUGAACUACCUAGCGCAGGUACACGCGUAUGUUGUGAGUAAGAGAGAAAGCAGCGAGCGGAGAGAUACAUUUUUCCUGAAAGUAAUGAAAUGAUUGCGAGCUUUAGUCUGGAAUCGUGCAAACUAUAUAUAUUUUUUUAAACGUAUACAUUAAUCCACAACCUCAAUUUCUGGGUUGGAAUCUUGUUGGCAGGGCAGGGCGCCAUGCCAAAUGCACUAUCAGGGAAACACUGUAUUAUGUAUUAUCAUUACCGUUUACAUUUAUCAGUGUAGCGAAACAAAUUUUCAAAGAAAAAUACACUGAAUGAACAGAUCUGCCAAAAACUGCUGUUUCAUUCUGGGUCUGAACUUUUUGUCUUUUUCACAGAAAAACUUGAGAUUAAACUAAACUUUAUCUCCAUCCUCUACUGACUUUUUCCCAUUUUGCUCCACUCUCACACUCACAUCCAUUUUAGUUUUCAGCCUUUUAGUACAGAGCACCUCCAUUUCAUCUGCUGCUUCAGGGAGUUAUUCUGUGAGUGUCUUUAAUGGUCAUCACUUCCUCGGGCUCUUCUUUUCUAACCCUUUUUUCGUCCAUGUCAGGCCCGUCUGCCUGUAAUUAGCCUCAAGUCAAAGACCAAAGAUGUCCUUCAGAUCCUCCUCUCUACGUGCGCAUAUUUCUAAAAAGUCUGCAGUAUGAAUUUCAUCCUCCUUUCAAAGCCAAACCUUUGGUAAUACAGUCACAUCUCUAGUGUGUCUGGAUACAGAGUAUGUUGUUUUUCAAAGGGAGUCUUUUAUGAAGCAACAGUGUCAGAUAGUUACCUUGUUGUCCUUUUGUUUUCUUUUUCCCACUCAUCAGCAGACGUCUGUCAGAAACUGUAAUUUCAUGCUGAAUGGUGCAAUGAGCUGUGGCAUGUUUUAGCUGACUGCAAAACAAAGACAAGGGGCUCUCACCUUACUGCCGUCCUGUGUGCCCCUGUGUGAGUGUGUGUGUUUGUGUCUGAGUGUGUGUGUGUUUAUUGGCUUUGAGUAUGUGAGUUGGACAGCAGCCGUGAGUAUCUGCACGCUCCAGUUUUAACGGCCACAUCAUGAACAAGGUCAGAGGACGAAGGCAUGUGGGCCCAGUGCCAGCCGGAGCGAGUUGUGACAUGAGGAGGACAAAGUCAUAAAGCAGCUUUGAUGUGUUUUACCAUAACUUUGCUCCAGGCCCAGCAUUAAAACUACAACUCUGGAUAAUGGCUCCUCCAGGGCCCAUCAUUCAAAAUCUCAUGUCCAACCUUUUCAGCACUGAGUGAAAAGUACACUGUACUUUUUUUUCUCAUUCAGAGGGUGAUUGAUGGAAAGUCAUGUGAUCUAGACCUCAGUUCUGCAGCCUUUAGAAAGUGAUUUCAGGUGCUCAUAGUGAACGUCAGCGAGUGAGAAAUUUUUCUGCUUGGCAUUAACUUGUCUAACAUAACGGCUGAAUUAACUCUGCAUGUCGCUCAGCACUUGUCAUGUAGCUUUCCAGUAAAGGCUGUAAUUUUAGGGUUUUAAGGGAUAUCCCAGCAUAAAAUUAAUUUAGGAUCAAACACACUGUAACACAGAGUUAGAGACCCCCUCGAGAGAUGAAUGUUGCCGACCUCCUACUUCUCUAGUUAUACCAACUUUAGUAACAACCGCACAAUAGCAAACACAGCGGUCUAUGUCUCUAUGCACAAACCUCAACCAAAACGCCACUCUAUAGCCACAAAUAAUGCUCAGAACAGCACCUAACUUCAUCAACAGUACAUAUAGGGUCCCAGCCACAGCACUAGCCACCAAACAUCUUUUUAGUUUUGCCUGAUUUCUUUAGCAAAGAGACGAAACACAACUCACCUACUCUCUUCCAGCAUCCGCUUGUUUGUAACGAGACCUCAGGCGAGUUCAUUACCGCAGCGGGGUGACGCAGCUCAAGGAAGAACAUUUAUGAUCAUUACUUCAUGGAAAUGCAAUCAGUCCGAGACGCUAAGGCAGAAGAACUACUGUGUCUGCAGUGCAAAAUGAUUGAUCUGGUGAGUAUUACUUAAAGGAAUUGAUGAAGUAAUGGUCAUAAAUGUUCUUCCUUGAGCUGCAUCACCCCAUUGUACUUCAUAAUGGACUGGCUGGAGGUCUUGCUACAAACAAGCGGCUGCUGGAAGAGAGUAGGUGAAUAUCCCUUUAAUUUUUGCCAUUUUUGCUAGCAUGAGUACAGUUUCUUUUGACAUGUUUAUAAUGAAAAUGUUUACAGUUCAUGCAUUUUCCUCACUGCUAUAGUUAUAGUCUCAUCUAUAGUUUAAUUAGCUUCAAAUAAUCAGUGCUGUUUGAGUGUUAAAUAUCAGAUGUUUCCAAGUUUUGUCCUCAAAGCCCCCUUAAAGUAUCUUAGAAAAACAGCCUUCCAGUAGGUUUUAAAAAUAAAAUAAAAGAAGUAAACUGUAAGAAGGUAUUUUUUUACUCUCUUGUAUCUACAGGCAGAACUAUCCAAACUGUUCAGCUUGAGUUUAAUAAAAGUUUUAGUGAAUAUGUGCAAAUUUAAUUUAAUUUGGACAACCACAGAACAAACAAAGUCCUCUGAGAUCUCUGUUGCAUCCCCCGGACCUGCUUUUGGUGACAAACAUUAUAUCAUCCUCUUUAGAUCCAUAUGAUUAUAUGUAAAUGUAUUUAAUUCUAGUAGCACAAAGCCCAAACAGACUUGUAGUUGUUAUAAUUUAGCUCCAUCUAUAAUACUCAGUCAUUAGUUUGAAUCAAUUUCAGACACUUUCAAGUAAGUUCAGUAUAAUGAAAGCAAUGUACUCUUUUAAACCUCCAGAGAUUUGGAGUUUUACGAUGGUAACAACACUAUGUUUGUGUUUGAGGCGACUAUUUCCUUGUUUUUAAUGUAGGAGGACGUUUUAUUAAAGUCAUUCUUACCAAAAGCAGAUGCUCAAGCUACAGCUUCAACUCUACAUUCACACUUUUUGCAUAAAUGUUUAAUGAAUUUACAAACAGACAAUUUUAUCCAAUAUCAUGGAACCAAAUUAAACUACAUUUGUAUUCAGUCCUUUUUGGGUUCAGUAGAAGAAGAACGAGAAAUAGAAAGAUCUACCAUUUGCUUUCCCUUUUAAAUGUUUUUGUAGAUUUUUUUUACACUAAUUUCCCCAAAAGAUAGAAGAUGUUAUUCACCGUAAAUGUUCAAAGCCCUGGAGGAAAUAUUGUGAUAACAUAUAGGGCUGUGCAUAUCAAAGCGUGUUGAAUUUACUUUCUGAGGUGUGGUUUUAUUGGUCUCUCACAGACGAUUUCUCCGCCUCUGACUUGUACAUAUCUGUAUAAACCAGUCAACAUGCAGUGCUCAAUCAGUUCAAGAAGUUGAAGAAUGUCCGAGUAAAGACUGGAAUACCAUAAUACUGGUUCAAUGACCUUAAAUCACUCUACACAGGACUCUACCCUUAGAUUCAGCUGACAAAGACUCUGGACAAGUUGUUUCAUACAGAAAGUAACAAAGAAGACAGAUUAAAAAAAUAGAAAUAAGUGUUACAUUUAAAAGUGGCCAAUGAGAAAAUAUUUCAUUUAUCUUUUUUACACCCAGAUUGACAUUGACUGACUACCUAAUCCUUAAGUUCAGAUACAUUACUCUAAACACAUCUCAAUAAAACCUGGGAGGGUAGCCUAUAAACCAUCAAAUAAUCAGACUUUCACUGCUGAAUAUGUUAAUAUCGUAUCUGCUAUAGCUAACUGACAGAGACAUCCUUAAGACAUGUUGACUGUCUUAUUUACUAUUUUUUUCUGUGAAAUUUUCCUUUUUUUGUUGUUGUUUUGUUGAUUUCUUUAAAUAGAGUUUGAGAAUUUCAAAGCUAUGAAACAAAUUGUUCCUUUUGUCUAUCCUGAAAUGUCACUACUGCGUGAUGAAACACCUGACAAACUUCUUGCCUUAUUUUUGGACGAGUCUUGGUUUACUUUCACCUUAAAAGGUCAGAGGAUAACAGCUUUCUUUCUUUCUUACUCUGGCCUGAAGAGACCUCUUGUAUUGUCAGCCUGCUGCCAUCCUCUCCCAGUAUCCACCAAUCCUUCAAGCUCAGGAGGAAAAGAGUGAGGAUCUGUUGACCUUUACUCGGAUGGAAAUGAAAGGCCUGAUAUCCAUCGCUCAGGAUCACCGUCCUCCUGCCUCACACAUUCACUCAGAACGAUCUGACAGAUGGAUAAAAAGAUGGAGGGAUGGAUGGAAAGUUUGCUGCAGACUUUACAGUUUGUUUUGGAACUAAACUGGCUAAUAGUUGUCACUCCUGAACCUCUCACUGUGUACAAACAGUUGUAUUUUCUAAAUCUUUGGAUUGGUCACAAUUCUGGACCGUGCAAACUGACAGCUAAAUUGUCCUGACUGAUUUAAUUUCAUCGCUUUGAAUAAACACAGCUGCAGUCCGCACCUGGUGCAUAAAUCCUCUGCUGAGUAAACAGUAAAUUACCUGCAUCUUAACAGGUCAAACUGCAUCUGUUCCCUUUUUCUUGAGCGUAAAACAUCAUUUUCAUAAAAGAUAAACGAUAUACGUGCAGAUAAAAAUCCCUUUAUAGAUGAAAAGAGUCGAUUAAAAAAAGGUAAAAGCAGUUUGAUUGGAACUGAAAUAUCACCGCUUUACUUCUUACCUGCCUCAUUAUCACCAGCGAGGUGUGCAUGUGCAUCACUGUGUUGAACUCGAUAUCUGCUCAAUGUGAGGUGUUAAUAUACCACCUGAUACCUGAUUGUUGAUGAUCGGGUAUCAAGGUUUAAUUCUCACACAACACUAUUGUGUUCUUACAUUUCAAUACAUGACAGCUCACAGCACGCGUAUUGAAAGUACACGUCGCAUUAAGGUUGACUUGUUAACACUCAACAUCACUGCGGAUAGGAGAAAAUAGGUAUGUAACAUUAAUUAUAUCUUUUUCUCACUUUCAUGUUGAACAGCAUCCAUAAUUUAGAUGAAUUUUUAUCAUUUCUCUGUCCCAAAAAUACAAACUUGAGCUGUUUCCACCUUUUAACUUUUAACCAUCUAGAACUGAAAUGGUAAAUCGAUUAUGUUUAUAAAGCUUCUUCUCCAGUCUGACCACUCAGUGCACUUAACCAAUCAAGAACACACAGUCUGACCAAUCAGCUGUCUGAAGACUGAGAUCAGCUGAUGAAAUGAAUCAAGUCUGGUGUGCUGCUGCUUGCUUGGUUGGAAGAAAAACCUGCAGCCACACCGGCCUUUUGUGGAAUCGUUUGGACAUGCCUGGUAUAGGCUACUAUAUAAAGCCGAAAACAUGCAGGAUCCGUACUGAGCGUGUUCGGUCCGCAUCAUGUAUCUGCUCCAUGGAGCAGCGCUGGAUAUCGCAUACAGGAUCCCCACUGUACAAUAGGACUUCGAAAUGACAUCUAUUUAACAUAUUUUUUUGACAGUGAGGUACAAAUGUGGACGUCAUUUCAACGUCUAAAAGAGGUCCGAUAAUGACGUCUAAAUCUUGGAUCUAUUUUGCACGUUGUGCCGACGUCUAGAGGUGAUCUUUGACGGACUGACCCAAUACUGACUCGAUCUGCACAUCUCUUCUACAUCCGAUGUUUGGAGGAGCAUAUUUGGAGUGUAGCAGCAGCGUAGCGCAGCCCCAGUCAGCUGGGCUCAGUGAAGAGGAAACAACGUGCUUUAUGCAACAGGUAGUUUUGCCUUUCUGUGGUCAAUUUCCUGCUAAUUUGGAUAUAAUUCAGUGACUGUUGAGCCUCUAUUAUAUGUGAAAAAGCAACGUUGUUUCAAAGUUUUGUUUUUUUGCAGGUUUAUUCGUGUUUAAUAAAGUAAACUGUUUCUUUAUGCGGUGCUGUUACCUUCAGACAGAGUUAGCCGUUCAAAGUCCUGUUGGGGUCCAAAUGGAUCACGGAUUGACCAUCGGAUUGUUCUGUGUUACUGAUAAAUCCAGAACCGGGGAAUAUUUGUCAUCCACACAAACUGAUACACAGUCGGGAGUUCACAUACGGUGUUUUAUUUUGACUUCCUGUCUAGAACGAUCUUCUCCGUGUGAAUUGACGCGUAUUGGAAGCGUAGAGCAGCAAAUAUAGACUCAGCGUGUAUCUCUUGCAGUGCUGCGUUCGAUACGGUCCUGCGACGGAGCUGAUACACGUCCUGUAUGGGAUGCUGUAUCGAUUAGAAUGGCAACCUAUUUGCUGUGUGAUACGCGAUGCUGACGUUAUGUGCUCAAUAUGGAUCCUGUAUGUUUCAGCCUUAAGGCUCCCAUCACUGGGCACAACCAGUGAGGGCAGCUUCUCCAUCAUGGAUGCUGUGUGGAUCUCAGGUCGUAUAUUCCCUCUUCACAAAGCUCAUUUAAAAACACCAGCCCUGCAAUGAUACCCUCUGCAUUAUUAAACGUGUGUGUGUGUGUGUGUGUGUGUGUGUGUGUGUGUGUGUGUGUGUGUGAUUCUAUCUACCUUCUCCCUACUGAAAGACUGAAGCUUGAAGUCCAUGUUUAAGCCCGAUCACAGGCCUGUGUGAGUUUCUCAUUAUCAUAUACUCUCAAAACCAUAGCCUUUUCUCCAAUAACUCAAAUGCACAAACAUACACACACUAAUUUUGGAGCCUCAAUAAAAGGGAACAGAUUUAAGAACCAACCUAAAACUUCCUCUAAUGAAGUUGUGCCAAUCUUAUGUGAUGAAAAGGAAAGCUGGUUGAUGCUUUUCUGAGCUUGUUUCCUGAUUCUUUUCACCGUAUUUGUUCAUGUAUACCCACAUCCUCUCAGAUAUCUUUCAAACCAAUCAAUUUACAAACAAGUGUGACUGUACUUCAGCCCCUCAAAGCGGGAGUGUAAUGAGCUUUUAGUGUCAGAUGGAGGAUCCAGAGCUUUCACUGUAAUUAGUCUCACUCUUUGUGAUCAUACAGAAUAAAAAGCUCAAGUGACAUGCUCAGCUUUUUGUUUAAGUGUCACCGCAAUAAACCUGGACUCAGUGCUUGAACAACGAGGAUGUGCAGAUCAGAUUGAAUUGUCCUAUCUGGAGGUGUCAGAGGACAAGUUGAUUAAUUUAACCUUACCGCGUGAGUCAGACAUCAAAAUGCUCCCUUUGCCCCCUCCUCUUGUUGGUGAAAUUGAAAUUGCGGCGAUUUCCUUCGAGGAGAAGAAGCUGCUAUGCUGAGAGGUAUACGUGUAAUCCUCCAUUUGUCAAGUUUUAUACCAUCAAAAGUCUCAAUGAACGCAAAGGCUUUUGUGCAAACCAGUGAGAACUGUCUUUUCCUUUGUCUCCUAAUAUGACACUUAAGGGGGUUUCACACCUUUGUCGUUUGGUCCGGACUUUCAGACAUUUCUGUUUUGUCCAAACCAUAAUGAGGUGUGAAACCUCCCCAGGACCUUGGUCCAGACCAAACAGCUGGACCUUGGUCCAACCAAAAGAGGUGGUCUCAGUCCAGACCAAACUGGACCAUGGUCUGGUUCAUGCCCAGUAUGUACCAAAGACAGGAAAUGACAUGAGGAGUACAAGUGUGCGUUAUGAUGUGUAUUGGAGAUUGUUCACAAACAGGAAAUUUUACAAUAUUGUAGACAAAGAUAUACCUCACUAUUGACAGGUUAUCUUUUCAAGAGUUGUACUUUCUCUCCAGAGUUGGUGUUGCAGUGGCUCGCAGGAUUGUGUACUUUCUUCUCCUUUUGUGUCGCCGACAAUAAAGUUGUCAUCUAAUGAUAAAAUUCAAAAGACGAACUCAGACCAGCCUCAUGUACGGCUCUUUACGUUAUCGCUGUUGGUAGUUAAAAAUCAACAAUAAUAUGAUGUGGAGAAUGACAAGUUUAUUCAUGUUUACAAUAUUUAAGACCCACGUUAUUCAAUGUGUUGACGUUAGAUGCCCGCCAGCCAGCCUGGACUCUCAUGUGUGGAAACACCCUUAAUCCCUUGUUUAUGUGAACAUCGAAUGGGCAUAUAAACUAAUAAGAGUAUACUGAAGAAUGUAGAUAUUUAGGAUAAAGUCGAUUCUAAAUGUAAGUCGAGUCAGAGAUGACAGUCAUUUAAACACUCUUGACAUUUCAUUAAUGUUUCCUCAGUGCCUGAAGACUUCUUCUCGUCUGACUCUCACAUUUUCUUCCUCCAGAGAGCUCAGCGCGACUCUGAAACUUGUUAAUCGUUUUUUCUUGACAACUAGGAGUUGUACUUGAAUGUGAAAUAUUUAAAAGCUCUGUGGGGCUGAGUGUGGAAUCGAUCAGCGUUCAGAGCACAUAUGAGACGGGGACGAGCUGCAGGGGCCUCUGGGAUGUGAAAAUAUCGUGUCGAGCUUUGUGGAUUUUCAAUGCAAUCAUACAUCUGAGGCAGGAGAUUCGUGUUGAUCCUGCCAGACGCUCUUGUCCUCAUCCUUCACUCUUAAAGCUGAAAACAUUUACCCUGAUACAGCCCAGAGAAGCGUCAAACCUCCACUCUUUUAGGCGUUGAGAGAAACUGAUUGACUCAAUAAAAUUGAUCAAAAAAGAUGCAGUUGAGGAUGCAGAAGUAAAAAUUGUAUUUUGCAUUAAUGCAGCACCAUUGGUUUAGGUAUCUCACAGAUUUUAGGAGAAUGUAAUUUCCUCCUCCUGCUGUUCAAAGAGCUUGUUGUGCAUCGCUGCUCAUGAAAUGCCACUUUGCUGCCAGAUAGUAUGUUUUCAUCUGCUAAAAUUUGUACUUUCUGGUUCAUAUCCUCCAAGUUUAUAUCGCUCAACCCAUCUGUUCUUUAUCACAAGAGCUCUGCCUGUUCAAUUAAAAGAGGAACACAAAGAAAUAAAGAGGCAAAACUUUUCAAACGAUCGUGUUUAUUUAUCAUAAACCAAGCUAAUAUAAACUUAUAGUUAAAUUUACGUAUAUUUUCAGGUAGUGCUCUCUCGCCUCUGGCUAUUGUCAGUGAUUGAUUGUGUCUAAUAUUCCUCCAGACUGUCCAUCGCUGCAGGGUUUCAUGUAGUGUGAGCCCUGUGUGUCCUCUAAACAAACACCUCAUGAGAUUAGACCUCGAUUCAAUAUCUGUGGCUGUGAUAGAUCAUCAUUCAUACAAGCUGUCUGAUCGACCAAACAGUGUGUGUGUGUGUGUGUGUGUGUGUGUGUGUGUGUGUGUGUGUGUGUGUGUGUGUGUGUGUGUGUGUGUGUGUGUGUGUGUGUGUGUGUGUGUGUGUAAAAAGUGUGUGAUUGGGAUUGGCAGAGAGAAACAGAGAGACCUGCAGCUGCCGGUUUUGUUGAGAUGAACCUCCCUCACCACUUAAAGUCAUGUGCAUCACUCUGCAUGUGUGUGUUGUGAUGUCUGUGUAGGGGUGUGUAUCCUCUCCUGUGGGCCUCUGACUCUUUACACAGUGAGCUGGCAGAGGACAGGACAGCCGCCACAGAAUAACAACAAAAGAAAUCAAUAAAGUCUCCAAACAUCAUCUGAUUAUUCAGCAGACAAAGCGGGAGCUCUGUUUAACACCCAGAGCUUUGUAAACUGCAGCUACACCACACAUCUUCACUUUUUUGAACACAUUUGAUGAGGGUUGUUUACCACAAAUGUUUAAAGGAAAGACUGGAGCUGAGUGACUUUCCACAAACUAUCCUGAUUUCAUCUCCUGCUCUUUUAUGUUCAGACUAUAGCUGUGAUGACUCUUUUUGUUUAGUCCCUUCUGCUGUUUUUCUGCGAAGAUGACAGUAAACUUGUGGAGUUAUUUCCAUCUCAUCAUCCUCACGUCCUCAUUCUUUCUAUACAGAUGCUCCCGCAUGUGACCUGGAGAUAACCUAGUAUGUAACUGAAGAGACAGCUUGUAAAACGCAUGAGCUUUAAAUUUCCUAAUAAAAAUAGAAAGUUUUGACGUGCUGAAGCAUUCAUAGUUGAAUGUAUACAACAUUUGAGUUGAUGUUUAACUUGUUGGCCUCUUAAGAGCCCCUGAUCGUCAAGCACAUUCAGAGAUUUGAAGAAGAAACAGCUUUUCUUUCCUCCUUUCCACCUGAAAUCUUUCCUUUUGUCCCCUUUUGGUAGACAGAUCUUCAGCUGGCUGAGACUGUUCUCGUAUUGAUUCUGGCUGCUUUGCUCUCUUUCAUUGCUUUUGUAAUAUUUUCUACUUUCCUCCUAUUUUUAAAGACUGAGAGUUUGCAAAGGUCAACCUUCCUCACAUAAACUCUGACAAUAAACAGCAAAGAUGACAGUAAUUAUACAGAGGGAAAGUCUUUUUCCUAACACUUUCUUCCAUUGUUGGUUUCCUGAAGCUUUGCAUGUGCUCUUCAGCUGACUGAAAACAGGUGAAAUCAAACACAGGACCACCAUAAUCUCCUGCUACUGCUACGUGAACUAAGAGUACUCAUAGUCGCAUGCUAAGAGGCAGACACAAAGUGAUGAUGUGUACUUUCACAAUUAUAUCAGCAACCCACAAGAAAAAUUAAAAAAGGACUUUACAGGUUCAAUGUCUCUCAACGGGAGAUGAAAUUGUUGGACUGCUGUUGCACCAAAACACUCAAACUAUCAACAGGUGACAUACUGAACAUGAAGAACCAAGACUUUGAAAUUUUGAUUUGAACACGCUGAGCUAAUUUAGGGCAGAAAAAAGAGGUCUUUGAUUUUAACCAGUGUACCUGUUGUGGGUCACUGCACAUUCGGGACUACAGAGAAACUUUUGACCAUCACAAAUAUCAAAUUAAAGUCAUCCAUUCAAGUCAUUGUUUUAGAAAAUUGACCUUUAUUCAAAUGGGACGUGGAUAUUUUUGCAGAAUAUUUUCUCAUGAUUUGCAUCUUUUGUACGAUUUUAGAAACAGUUCCUGCUGGCUGUGAGAUGUACAUCUUUUGUUCAGUAAAUCUGUUUUUAUAGAUAAAAGUUCAUCUGUUUCUGCUUAGAUUGUGACAAACACUUCCUACUAUGCAGUUUCUGAAUAGUCAGAAUUCACCGAAACAGGAUAUAACCAGAGACUUCACAGGUUAAAGAGCAGAGGCGCCUCUCAGACACUCAGUUAACAUUAAUCUUUGGUCACAUCCCCGGAGAUUAUUGCUCUAUUCUUCAGAAUUGAACAUUCAGUAAGUGCUAUACUUUGAUAACAGGUGCAAUCGACCACGCUACGCUGCAGUGAUUCCCAUAACGCUCUGCAGGCUGCAGUUUUAUCACAGGUCAUCGCUCUUUACCAGUUACAAAUGCCAGGACAUAAACACGCUCCAACACAUUCGUUCUCACACAAACACAUGCAAGGGCGCUCUCUCUCUCUCUCUCUCUCUCUCUCUCUCUCUCUCUCUCUCUCUCCCUUGGUUGUACAAACACAACAACAGUUAAGGGUUCAGACAGUAAAACGGCUGGACAAACCUGGACUGUGUAUUUUCCCAUGAUAGCCUUAAUUUAAAGACGACUUAGCAGACUCUAAUUAUCUGAAUCCCACCUUUUAGCGUCGCCUCCUAUCAUGCUGCGAUCGCUAACCAUAUGAGACCCUAUAAAAGGUAAAGAAAUCAUAAACAGAGAAAACACUGAAGACUUCAUUCAUCACAACUUUUUUAUAAUCUGUGCUUUUCUCGCCUUGCUUCUGUAUCACCACCUACACAUCAGAUCUAUUCCACGAUUUGUUGAAGUUUAAGUUGCACCCACUGACAGCUGUUUCAAAUCAACAAUGGAGACAUCAACAACCCACUUGUUGACUAUCUGAAAAUAAUCACAUAAAGUAAACAAGGUCGAUGGGGCUGACGUAGUUACACAGGUACUUGUUGAAUGUUACGUAUUUAUCAAACCUCAGAUUUCAUUUAUAUCCUGGUUUCUUCUCAUUGUGUUCUCAGAUUUGUGUGUUGAAAUGAAAUGACACGAGACAAGGCCAAACAAACUAGGAGUGGUUAGUUUCACAGCAGGAAACAACAAAGGCAAGAAUCUACUUUGUGUGAUGAAAUUACAACUAACAGGCUUACAUUGAUACAGGCAUAUGUGAUGUUGAAGGAGGUUACAUACAUCUCCAUUUCACUUUGACACUCACCCUGUCUUUUUUCUCUCUCUGUUUGUCUGUCAUUAAAAGCUGCCCACAUCCAGCACAAAGAUCCACACAAACGCUUAUUUCUAUUCAUGAGUUUGUGCUAAGCUCGCCUUGCAAAUGUCAACAUUGAGAUUGAUCUCUCAUGAGGCCUUUUUUGCUCAGCUUACCUGAACAAAAGACACAUCCAUAUUUACCAGCCUCGGCUUCUGUCACACACUGCAGUCCAAGAACACACUGUUACAGGCUUUUACAUCUCAGUCACCUUAGACUGGAUCACCUGCACUGAAAUUCUCCUACAUGGUCCAUCAUUUACAUCUUUCAGCUUGUUUUGAAUGUAGAUUAUUGUAAGUCUAAAUCAUAUAGGUCCUGUGAAAUCAUCCGUAUUAAAUGACACUGUUUGAAAUGAUACCUCUAACAGCUUUUGUUGUCAGAUUUUGUUUCAUAGCCAUCUAAGAGUCCCCUGAUUUAGUUUUAACUUUCAUAUUCAGUAAUGUAAUGAUGCACAGGGUUAAACAAAGAACAAGACCCAAAUGCAGACAAAAAAGGAUUUAAUUAAUUCAUUAACUAAAUAAAAAAGAAACAAAAAGAGAAAAUCCAAAAGGCAAAAUCGACAAACAAACAUACAAUGAACCAACAAGGACAGAGGGGAAGAAGACGGGGACAAUAUACACACUGGGUAACGAGCAACAGGUGAGGCAAACGAGACACAGGUGAAACUCGUUAGUGAUUAACGAAGGAAGGAAAACUAGGGAAGUAAAACCAGAUUUGAAACACAAGGAAUCAACUACUAUAAAAUAAAAUAGGAAACACUGAAAACUUAACGAAAGAAUAAAACACUGAAAACAUGAGGGAGGGUCAAACAAAAACUAAAAACUAACAAGACAAGACUACAGGGGAACAGGAGCUAUAGGGAACAGAAACACUCGGGGAAAAUACACAGAAAAAACACUCAAAUUAACAACACAAGGAGAAAACUAAGUUCACAAAAUAAAUCAUGGCAGGUAAUGCUUUUUUUCCUUUGGCUUUUUUUUCUAUGGUAAAGGACAAACAAAGCUAAACAUGUAGACUUUAUUAUUCAGUCAAAUGUUACUGUUUUUAAAAAGAGAGUUCAGACAGCUACAUUGAAAUGCCCCCAUAUCUGGAUUAGCCGACAAAAAGCCUUGACCCUGAAAACCCCCAAAAGACCUUACUCUACUCGGGAAAGCGCUGACUCCACAUUUGGUGUCCGCCUUUGUUAACUGAUCUGGGAAAAGGAGACCUUUUGUUUGUCUUCCUGUUAGCAGAGGAAAUGAAAAAGCUUGACUUCUACCACAGCUCAGCUGUGUUUCUAACCACUGUUAGUUUCUGACAUGUCUUGCUAGGCUUGACUGCCCUCCAUCAAAACCACAGGGGAGAUCUACCGGGUGCUAUACUCUCACCAGAGGAAAUGUCUCACCUUCCAGUAAGAAGGAGGAGGAGGGGGAGGAAAAAGACCAGUCAGAGCAUCUUCUUCCUCUGUUAUCUGAGAUUUCUGUCAAUUAUUCUUUCAGUGACGAGAGUCUGCAAUGUAUAGAAGGUCAAACAGGUGUUUUUCUAGUAGUUGCCGUUGUCCUCAGUACAGCAGAGUGGAGCUGCUGACGUCUGCUCACAGGUUGGUCCUAAAAAUAGUUGUAGAAAUAUGUGAUACCAUGUGAUACCCAUAAAUUGGUGAUUAGACUGAUAUUUCCAUUCUUAAAACCACACUGGUGGUCUUCAUCGGCAAGUUUCAGGCUGAAAUAAUCCAUAAACUGUUGGGUCAGUUUGCGUAAACCUUGAUGAGUUUGUGAGUUGACAAUGAAAGUCUCGGGCAGGAUGUUUGUUCAAGCUUAAUAGCAAAAGUGCUAACCUCAAACCAUGUUGGCGCAAAAAAAUAAAUUUUUCUCUGUAUUUAUGUAUUUAUUUAUUUACCAUUUUAGAGACCAUAAUAAAAAAUAGCAAGUCCUGCUUAUACAGAAUAGAGAACAGUAAACAUAAAUCUAAUCAAUCAAGCCACAGGGGUGUUAUAUAUGACUGUUACUACAGUUUGCAGUUUUGUGAUCAUAGUUUUAAAUAAGGCACAACAUUUCUCAGUAUUGAAAGACAAAAAAAUGGAAAUUAAGGAGAAAAGCGUGAAGCGUACAGACUUAUAUUGCUUGAAAAAUCCUCUGAGAACACAAAAUGUCACAACCUUUCUUUCUCUCUCUCUCUCUCUCUCUCUCUUCGAAGUGAGUCUGUCGUGUCUCUGAAGGUCUCGUAGCUUUUUCCUCCUUGACACACAAAAUUGAAGAUGACAGACUGAGAAGUAUUUGGUCCAGGACACCAAAUGGGGAAAUGUAACUUGUUUGUCUGGUGGUUCCUUUCGAAACAGACUUCAUAAAGGUUAUGAUUUUGUGUCUUACCUACUCCAGGAAUAUUCUGAAAUAUUGGAGGAUGACAUUUAAGUUAUUUCUCAUCAUUAGAGUCCAGGAGUUCGAUUCAUGAAGUCUCAGUCCCCUCUGAGCUUUAUUUCUUUAACAUGCUCAGUUUCCUCUUUUAAUCCCUGUGACGUUUAUUGGUUAUAAAUACAGUAUUCAUGCCGUAUAUUAUAUUAAAACCAGAUACCUGCUCUCUUUUAAUGUGCAGUGAUUAUUAUCGGCUUGGGAGUCAUCACUAAAACAUAUUCUCUCUUACCUAAGUAAAGGUCAAAUUAUUUUCACGGUACCUGAAAUGACCUCAGGUAAACCACGAAAACACAUCAGGGGUGUGUUUUUCCUCACUAAUGACAGAAAUGUUAUGUUCAGGGUUGAUAUAUAUAUUACCUAAACCACUUGUUCUCUCUUGAAAAUGCACAAUAAGUAAUUCUUCUCGCAGGUUGGCGUCCUUCGCUGCACCUGGUCCAGAUGUGAGUGUAUUUUUAAGAAUACGAGUCUGCAUUUCUAGCACCUGGAAACCUUGGGCGAGACACCAGAAGGAGACAGAUGGCUGUGUGUGUGUGUGCGUGUGUGUGUGUGUGUGUUGUUUGAAGGUUUUUUAAAUUGCUUUGCCAAGUGUUUUGUUGAAUAGCAUUGGUUUAAUGAGCAUAAGCAGCAGUUUGUCCAUUAAAAAAACACAUCACAGCCAGUUACUUUUCUGUGUUUUUUCCCCCUCUAGAUAUUAGAAAUCAUGUGGUUAAUGUAAUGAGAGGAGAGGAGGGGAUGAUGCCUAUGAUAUGAAGGAUUCCUCUGCUGUCAACAGCUCAGACUCGGAGGAUUUAGGCUCAGAGCGUAAGCCGCUGCUGAAUGAGUCAAGCACGGUGUCCCAAAGGAUACAGCUUCAUAUUUUCCAUAUUGUGUUUGCUUUAGGUGUUUUUAUUGAAAGUUUUCAAGGUGUAAUGGAUUAAAAAAUGUACUAUAUCACCAAGUGCUUUGACUCAAGGUAAGCAAGUGUUUGAAAUAUAAGAAACCCUGCACAUAAUGACAAAUAACAGUAAAAUAAAACAAUUUUUUCCUUCAAGUUUUGACUGCAACAGUUACAAGAAAAAUAAAGGAAAAAAGCAGUGAGAUAUGAAUGAUGUGAUAAAUCCAGAGAGAAAUGGUAAAUUAAUUCAGACUUGUUGAGAUUUUUCACAUUUCUCUAACACUGUAGAAACUCGCUCAUUUACACAAGUUUCACGUCACUCUGGCAAAAAUAAACUAGCAAGUGUCAUGUAACCCUGUGUGUGCCGUGGUUAAAGUUGUCAAGGUGCAAUAAUCAGCGAGAGAAAUUGUCACAUGACAGAGGAGAGGGGAGGGUGGCGGCAGCUGGUGAGAAGUUCUGCUCCACUGGAAAAAGUCAUGAUGUUAAGGUGUUUAAAAAGGAGGAGGCAGGAUCAUAUCAUAUCCAGCCAACUUAAACUUAGGGCAAGUUUGAAUCCAUUUAGUUUAACGCAGCAGGCUCAUGAAAUCAAACUGUCAGACUAAACACUUCAAGUUUCUGUGAUUCCCUUUUAAUUGUCUGUUCACGUCUGUUUCUAUUGUGUAGAUGCCUCUAUAAUGUGAGGAAGUUAGCUUACGGACGCCAUUUUUUUCUGAUCAAUACCAGUGAGUCAAAAUCAAACAGAUCUCAACUCUCGGCAGGGUGUCAAAUUGUUAGACACCCUGUCAAGAGAUGAAUGUUGCAGACCACUUGCUUCUCUAGUUAUACCAACUUUAGUAACGGCCACACAAUAACAAUACACAGCGGUCCCAGGAGCCAUGAGCUCAACCAAAACGCCACUCUAUAGCCACAAAUAAUGCUCAGAAGAGCACCGAACUUCAUCAACAGCACAUAUAGGGUCCUAGCCACCAAACAUCUUUUUAGCUUUGCCUAAUUUCUUUAGCAAAGAGACUAAACACAACUCACCUACUCUCUUCCAGCAGCCGAUUGUUUGUAGCGAGACCUCAGGCGAGUCCAUUACAAACUGCUGUGGGGUGACGCAGCUCAAGGAAGAACAUUUAUGAUCAUUUCUUCAUGGAAAUGCAAUCAGACCGAUACAAUAAGGCAGAACUACGGCGUCUGCAGUGCAAAAUGAUUAAUAUGGUGAUUAUUACUUCAAGGAAAUAAUAAAGUAAUGAUCAUAAAUGUUCUUCCUUGAGCUGCAUCACCCCGCAACAGUCGAUGGACUCGCCUGAGGUCUCGCUACAAACAAGCGGCUGCUGGAAGAGAGUAAGUGAGUUGUGUUUAGUCUCUUUGUUAAAGAAAUUAGGCAAAGUUAAGAAAAUGUUUGGUUACUAGUGCUAUGGCUGGGACCCUAUAUGUACUGUUGACAAAGUUAGGUGCUCUUCUGAGCAUUAUUUGUGGCUACAGAGUGGCGUUUUGGUUGAGCUCAUGGCUCCUGGGACCGCUGUGUAUUGCUAUUGUGCGGUCGUUACUAAAGUUGGUAGAACUAGAGAAGCAAGCGGUCGGCAACAUCCAUCUCUCGUCGGGGAGUCUAACUCAGUGUUACGAUGUGUUUGACCCUAACUUAAUUUUACACCAGAAUAUCCCUUUAAAGGGUGUUGCUUUGGCCUGUUUAUCAUUGAAUCCUGCUCAGUUUGGUCUCUUUGUGUUUGUGAAAAUAGAGUUUUGGAAAAUGUUGGAAACCUCUCAGUGCGGUAGUUGAAGAUAAAAUCUGCUCAAUCAAUGAUAUUGCGCAAAAGGGGAAUUACAACUAUUAUUCAGAAGGCAUCUCUGGGAAGCAUGAAAAUCACAGAAUCUUCAAUCAUACAAAGAGAGGAAGAGCAUCGAGGCUCCGUUACCUCUGCAGAGAGCCUGUAAUCUGUUAUUAGAGACGAGCAGCACAAUAAGAACGAAAUCAGCUGAGCAGACCAGGAAAUAGAGCUAAUCUUUGGGAAUCUCUUUUAUGAGAGAAAGGAGCCCUUACCACUGAGAAUAUCUGCACUGAUACAUCUGAUACGUAACAGGAGAAAAAAAAAAGAUGAACACUGUUAUUGCCAAAGCUUUCUCCAAUAAAAAUAUGUCACAUUAGGAGCGUGCCAUGUGGAUUUGAUAAAUGAUGCAACAAGGUGUACCCAGUGUGUGACACAUGAGCACAAAAGGGAUCAAAAAUUAAAUCUCCAGUCUUACCUCCUAGCUGCAGGUUUGCACAGCACAUAGGUUGAUAGAAAAAUAAUGUUUACUUCCUUAUCUGUGUGCACGUGUGUAUUUGUAACAUGCCUCAGCACAAGAAAUCAGGUAAAUAUGCUGCAAGAAGGACAGAGUCUGGUCUCACUGCUUUGCUUUGUUGUAUAUAUUUUGGAAAACAGGACAGUCCUAAUGAAUUUAACAAUUUUUAGAUGAAAUCAGCUUUUGUGCUUUGAUCUGCCGUCUGUCUCACUGAGAUCAUUGAGUAUUUAAUAAUUUCAGAGAAGUUAAUGUGAGGGAGGAAAAAAAGAAGAAUCCUACUGAAGUCAAAAGCCUAUUUAAAGAUAAAAGGCACGUUUAUUAUUUUUCUGAAGGGACUUCAAUUCAGUGCUUACAUGGGAACAUUGUCUUUGAACGUCUCUCAUACUCUGCGUUUGGUGCUAAAAUAUAAAAAGGAUGAGAAUGAAUUUAUCUCUGAGCCCCUGGGGGUUUCCUCUCCACUUUUCUUGUUAUUUAGAUUAAACGGAAUUAAUUUUGCAUCUGCUCUGUGAGAAGUUUCAUUGUAAUUUUAAAGUGUUAAUAUAAAAGACAAGAAUGAAGACUGGUAAUUUGGUUACAGAGUAAAAGGGACAGAUGAGAGGCUGACUGAUGCUUAAUUGUUGCAGUGGAUUGAGGAAAUAGCAGCCAUUUGUAAACGUAAAUGUAAAAUUUAAGGGAUAACUAUUAUACAACAAACACAAAACCAAAAAACUUUAAGAAAAAUGUCACUGUAGUAUUUUUUUUUUUUUCAACUUCGCAACCCCAAAAACAUCAAAAUAACUGUAUCUUGCUAGGUCAGAGUAUCAUUAAGUAAUUUGUCAUUCAUGUGUGAUACAAAACCCAAAAAUAGAAUUUAACCCUAACCCUUAUCGAUAGAAACAGGGUGAAAAAACAACAAAUGAGGAGUGAGGAGGACGGCAUACUCUCAGCAGCUCAGUUUCUUGCAGCAGGCUCUGCAUGGCAUACAAAAGGUGAUUAAAACCUACUUAAUAUAUGAGACAUUGUAUACACCAGUUUUAAGUGUUACAACAAUUCAUCUGAGAAAUGUAAGAGAAAAAAAAGUGCAAAAUGCAAACAAACCAGGCAGCUUUGACCCUAAAAGAUUGAUAAAAUAAAAUAAAACUACCUAUUUCUGAAAAUUGGUUGCUAUAUAAAUAUGACUCAUUUUCAGGAUAACAAAGGUGGAACAGGAAAUAUGUGACAAAAUGUGACAGACCUUCAGUGUUUUCUGCUACCAGAAUAAAGAGAGAUGGCGUGAUUAUUGUGGUAUUGCAAAUAUUUUCGAAGGAGAUUAUUUUGUUUUAAAAGCAGACAGUAAUACGGCGCCUUGAUCAAUCCCAGAAAUUAUUUACAAAUCAAGAUGCGAAACAAAAGCCCUGUUCCUGUCAUGCAUGCUGUACUUCAACACAGUAUCACAACACUCCUGAGCUUCUUUUUUUUUUACAUCCAACCAGAACCAGAAAAAGUUUUGUCUUUGGGAUUUAACUUUAAUGUGUGGUUGAAGCACUUAUACUUGUCUGUGUUCAUGAUAAGAUUUGUAAAAUUGCCUAAUUAGGGACAUUGUUAUAAAACAAUAGCGUGCUAAUUGUCUCUAUAUUGUGUCUAUGUCUUUGUGUAUUAAUACACAUAACUAUUUUCUGUUUACAAAGCAUUUGUCCUCCUACCUGUGCUGCAAAUUGCAGCUAAUAUUAAUCACCAUAAAGACUGAACACAAACAAUAAAAAUGAAUAAUGUAAAAAUAACAGAUAAUAAUUAGGUCAUUCAUCACUAUCCAGAUAACAUAUACUGGUAACAUGUUUAUAACGCUGGGUGUGAAUGAGCUCCCAAACCUGAAGAGGGGCUCAUUAUGUACAGGUCCGACUUCCUGACUACCUGAAUCUCUCCCUGGUUGCAGAGCUGAGCUCAUUUUUUACCUCUGUUGAUGCUGCACAGCACCACUGGAACUACAGAAUGAUUCAGCUGCAGAAAAAAUCCCAAACUAACAAGGAAUUGUUUUUCAAGAAUUUAUCUUUUGGAUUCACCAGAGUUGAGCUUUGGGCCUCUGCAAGGUUGAUGCUUCAUUGCAGCUCAUUCCCUUAUUUACCAAGAUGACAUGUAGACAACAGUCUGGUUAGAAAGACAUGACUUUAAGGUGAGAAAAUUCACAAAAUCACAUGUGGGGAAACCUUUCAAAACAGUUCUCUUUUAAUUGAAAGGAAGAUUAAUUUGAGCAAAUUUGAUAAAUAAAGGAUGUUUUGGUAACCCUUUCUUUUACGGUACACUUAUUACCAGGUAAUUAACAGGUAAUUACCUAGUAACAACAUGAAAUUAUCUGGUAAUUACAUGAUAACUACUAAGCCAAUACUGUCUAGUUUUUCUUUUUUCUGUGCAGAUCCAUUUUCAAAAGCUAUAUGGGGUUCUUAUUUCUACGAUUGACACUAGAUACAGCCUAUGGGUGUGCAAAGAUUGCGUAGCAAUACGCUGUUUGAGCCGAGCAUUAUCACAGCGACUCAACCGCCAAAUACCUACAAUGCUACUGUAAUUAUCAUGUAAUUACCAGAUAUUUCAUGUUGUUACUAGGUAAUUACCUGGUAAUAAAUAUACCGUAAAAGAAAGGGUUACCAAUGUUUUAGCUAUACAUAUACUGCACAGGUUAUCAUGAUAGCACAAAGAAAUGAAAACAUUACGACCCUGCCCCUGAUAUUAGAAACAUCUAAAACAACGUCACAACCUGGUAAAUUGAGUGAAAUUCAUGGACAUUUCAGCAAGUGUUUUUCUGAUUUUGAUGCAAUGAAAGACAAAGUGAUUUUUCAAUGAAAUUUCAUUUUAUUGCAAUUGUGUCAGGGAGAACUUGCAAACAAUACGGCAUCUUCAUUGAUAUCAGUUCACUCUGAAGCAGGAUUUUGCCCCAUGGUUGCACGCGCUCCUAGUAUUGUUUGUACACAAGGAACCCGUCAAUAAACGUAUCCCAACUAAUUUGUUCACUCGAACUGUGAUUGUUUCCAAUCCCAAAUUAUUUACCAUUUAUCUGUUUGAUUGUCUUUACUCAUCAUAAAUCUUGACACAUGACAGAUUAAAAGAGAAUAGAACCUAAAAGUUCAGCUCCAAAGGUUAAAAUGUUCACCAGCCAGGGCAAGGGAGCCUGAAAACGCCCAUGAAUACAACACUAACAGGGUCAAGAGUCAAGUGAGCUCAGGCAUUCAUGAGUCUAAUGGAAGCAGGCAGAAGGCCUGACAGAGCACGCUCACUUUUCAAUCUCAGUGACCUGAAUUCACAGCCCGCAGGUAAGCGGUUAUCAGGGUCAUGUCAGUGUGUGUGAGGUAUAUGAGGCCAUUUGUUGUCAACUUUUGGCUUUUUUUAUCCUGCUAAAUAAUGAUUUUAUCCAUCCUUUUGACAAACAGUAUACAUAAAAUAUAUCAUUUUAUUAACGCACUGAGACAGUUUAUUGUAUAAGCUCAUGUUAAAGGUGUCAGCUGCUCCUAUAUCAUGCGACAGAAUAGAUCUGUGUUUAUAUUAGAUGGUAAAUUAAAUACAACAUGCAGACAUUCAUUUACUGUGUGAUAACAUUGCUGUUGUCAGUGCUUCAUUAUUUAGUAACACGGAUUAUGUUAAAUAAUGCAGAGAUCAGAUCAGUCCCACAGUCUCCGGGAUCCUCUCUCAGGAUGUUGCCUUUAUCACACACCUGUCAGCACUGUUGUCAUGUUAUCACCGCCUCCAGAAAGAGAAGCUGCUUUAAUCUUUACACUGCUGAGUCAUCCAUUACAGCAUUUCCCUUUCAAACAUACCGGAGGGUAAUCUAUGAGAGACUUAAGAUGUAAUUUAGAUGAAACAAAUCAGAGACUUGUUGGGUUAUUUUGGCUCUAUCUGGUGAUGUUUAACCAAAUGGACUUUUUGACUUUUCUUGGUCUGACUUUGUCUCGAAAAGUCGGAGCAGAAACAUCCCUCUUUGCCCCACCAGAGUCAGUUCAUGUUUAUGUGCUCAUGUCAAAAUCAGAGGGUGAUGUAGAGAGAGGCUUUCAGUGUGUCUGAUUGCAUUAGUGAACGACUUGUCUCUCAUUGACGUUUCCUCUCAUUUUUCUAAUUGACCCGAGCUGGAGACGUUAAAGCAGGAUGACAGAAGGAGCAAACAGAGAGAGAGAGAGAGAAUCAAGUCGAUGUUAGAGGAGAAAAAUAAGAGACCCCAUCUCUUCACACUUAAUGUUUUAAAACUUACUUCUCCUCCUUUUUCUUUUCUUUCUUCACUCCUUCCCUGACAUGGCAUAUCAUUACAGAGCCAAUCCUCACAGGGGCUGCACUUGUCACUGAAUGAAUCACCCCGACGUAACUGGGUUACAGCAUAAAGGCCCUUCCCUGCUCUGUAAAAAUUACACACAUACUGUAAAUGUGCACACUGCAAUGUGUGAAAAAUUAAUUUUGAGAUGUGGAGACAGGGUCCCGUAUGGAUGGCUGUAACCACAUCACUCAUGCAGAAUGGCCAUUAGAUAUUUUUUAUGCAACCCACACACAAGCAGCUUAUUUGUCUGUGUAUCCUCAGCCAUUAAUGGUAAAUAAUGGUCUUCAUAGGAAAUACAUAUAUCAAUGUAAAUAUUGUUUAAAUGACUCAUUCACAAUCCUUUUCGACUUCUUAUAUUUUAACAUGAACAACAAACACCACCUCUCUUUAAGUUCUAUUGUUCUGGUUCACUUUGGUUGCUUUAACAUAAUAACUACUCAACUACAUCGCUGUUGGAAUGGAAUAGAGGUUAUAUAUGGAAUAAAGAAAGAGCACUUUCACACAUUAGGCAAUAAAACACAGUGUAACUGUGAAAAUGGGAAUCAUAGCCAACAUCUUUUUCUCAUGUUAAAUUACCUACAUUAUUUAUAGAAGUAAACAAAGUCUUGUCCUCAUUUGUUUCCUGGCAUGGAGAAUAUUUCGUGUUAGUUGUCAAGGACAUGUGUUGGCGUUGAGUAUAAAAGAUACAUCUUUGAGAAAAUGCAGAUUGUGCUUGUGUUAAUGAAUUGGUAAAAAGUUCUUCAUUGUGUAGUGGUUCCACUUCUACAGGAAAUGCCCGUGUCUCUCACAAAUGAGUUAUGGUAUUAUUAGUUAAAAGUUUGGUAGGUGGUGAAGCGGAGAUAGGCCACAGUAUAAAACGCUGCUUCUUUCUUUCACUCCUUCUAAUGUCACGUUUGAUGCUGCUGAGCACUGCAGGAAAAAAAAAAAAACACCUGACCAUUGAAGGUAAGUUUUUCAUCAGAAAACAAAGGAUCGAACCUCUUUGGUGUGAAUACGACUGCAUAAUCUUUGAACAGCUCUCUCCUUUGCAAAUUGAAAGAAAAAGACACUCAGGGAAAGAGGUUCAGUUUGUUUCAUAUAGCUGCGAAGACCCUCUGAGGGCAAAUUCUUCUUAGUAUCGGUGAAGUUAGGAUUGUGCUCUUCAUGCCACAGUAAAAUCAUCUCACUUUCCACUUUUGCAGUGUUGAAAGUAUUUGAUAACAGCCUUGCAACAAGCAACACCUUGUCUUAGAAAAUUGAUGGAGAACCUGCAUUAUGUCCUCUUGAAGGUGAUACAAAACCUGAUUUAUUUGAGUGGAUUUCCUUUGUAAACUAAGCUUAAAGUUUGAAGUUUUAUAUUAUUGAAUUGUUUUCACAUCAUUCUCAAACUUUCCCAAAUUCUUUGACCCGGUACCUAAGCUACAACAAAGUGAAUUUGUUAAAAGAGAGUGCACAUUUGCAAUUUUACUUUCAACAUUAUUCCUUUUGUGUCAACUGAGCUUGCAGAGUUUUGGCUCUGCAGCAGAUGGUAUUUCACCUUGUUGUUAGAGAGACUUUUUUGAGGAAGAGCUGAAAUCUUUUAACCAAAGAAGCAACAGCCUCAGUUUGACACAAAAGGUGAGAUUUUAAAUAAAUCAGGAUGACAUUUCAGAUACAGAGCAUCAUGUUAUCAAUGUUCAGCCUGACAGGUUAUGAUUUCAGUACAACUUCUAAAACUUUUUCUUCCUUUUAGACAGAAAAAGACACAUUCCUGAGUUUGUAAGAGUUGUUGAUCAUAUUGUGGUGUCAGCACUGAGGCUUCUUGAACUGAGAUCAAAAGGGAAUACCUCUGUGUAAGCAGAGCGGCUCGACUAAAGGCAUCUUUGAAGGCUUCGAGAUACGCAUAUUGAAUCAAAUCUGUCGCAAAAAUGUAAAAGAGUGUGAUGGUCAUGUUUAAACUAUACCUGCAAACACACACUGGGCCCAUUUUGGGUCCAACUAAAUGUAUUAUCUUUAUCAGUCAUUUAUGUAAUAAUAUAUAUAUAUAUAUAUAUAUAUAUAUAUAUUUAUUUAUUUAUUUUUAAUGCAGACAAUACGAUUAUAUACACCUUGACCAAUGGGUUUAAAGACUGCCUGAUCUAUGACCUGAGAGACACGCAAGACAGGACAAUGACACCAACCAAGCGGCCCAGGCUUGAUUUUCAAUUAAGAUAAUGACAAAUUGAUUGAAGUUUAAAUUGUUAACUGGCAAAUUCAAUGACAUUGCAUCUCAGGCAUGCUAUAACGUAUUGCAAAAGUAACAUAACUAGCAGUGUGUCUAGUUUUGUUCAGCUACUUAGGGGUGUGUUAGUUCACUUAAAAAAGACCAGUCCAAGUCACUACCCAAAAACUUUUUUAAAAAACUUGACAACAAAAACACAAGAGUACAAGAAGGUAGUCCUUUUUUACAUACUCUACGAUACCCUACUUCUCAUUUGGUAUUCAUAUAAAACUUAUUAAGACUGUUGGGUUUUUAUCAUCCAUAAAAUGCCAAGAUAAACUUUAUAUUUUUUGCCGACUGGCUGCCCUCCUUCCUUCUCUGCAGAAACUAUCCUGGUAUUUUAAAAGUAAUACUGUUGGACUGCAGCUGAGGACAGCGAACUCAGCAUUUCAUCAAGAUAGAGUAUCUCCACAACUCUGUGAAAUAAUAUCACAGAACAACAAGUUCAAUGUAAAACUCCUUGUAUCUCGCCGUCAUCACACAUUAUCGACAUGUUCAGGGUUAAGUCCGCCUCAGCUCAUGCUGUAUUGAUUUUGACAUUUCCCUCCGAGGUUCCUGCAGUCAGGUCGAGGGUGGAUAGAGGAGAUCUUAAAUAUAACAGUGCAGUUUAGCCUUGGAGAAGAGGAGUGUUUACGAAUGUGUGUGUAUCUUGGCUUUAUGUGUUAUUUAUAACUAACCUUCAGAAGAACUUCCAUCAUUCUAGCCAAUUACAAAUGGAGCAACUGGGCGGUUUGACUGUCUCUUCGCUCAUGCAGUCUUUUGCUUACAAUUUCUUGCAGUCAUGUAAUGAGUAUUAUAAUGUGAAUUUCUCAUCAAAGAUAUCAAUACCCAUGUAUCUGUGCAAACAGCCGUGAUAUUUUCUGUUUUCAAGCUAUAAAUAAAGAGCUCUAUCACUGUUAUCCCUUCAAAGGCACUCAAAACUGGUGGUAAGGCCAUUCCUCUUUUCCGUAAUCCUGGGACUAAUCCACAGCAAAUAAUUUAUCAAGUACGGUACAUGAACAAAAAGAAGAAUUUGCUGGAAAAUUUGUUACACUUUAUUAAUAACAAGAGAUGGCUCUGGUUGUAAGAGGCUUGAAAACACUCUGUCAGCUGGUGGAGGAACAAAUUUAAAUAACCUAAUUUGACACAUUUAAGGGGCCAAGUUACAGGCAGAUGGGAGGAAAGAAACCAACUGAAGAGGCAGCAGAUUUCCAGAGUUUUCCGUGUUACCCUGCAGAGAGGUCUUGGUUUUGCUUCAGUAGAGACAGGUCAUCCAGGCUGAACACAGAUGAGACUCUCUUCUCUGACAGAAUUAUAGACAGAAAUCUCAGACAACAGAGGAAGAGGAUGCUCUGACUGGACUUUUUCCUCCUCUUCCUCUCUGGAAGCACUGAGCGGUGAAACAUGUCCACCGGUGAGAGUAAAGCACCCGGUGGAUCUCCCCUGUGGUUUUGAUGGAGAGCAGUCAAGCCUAGCAAGACAUGUCAGAAACUAACAGUGGUUAGAAACACAACAGAGCUGUGGUAGAAGUCAAGCGUUUUCAUUUUCUCUGCUAACAGAGAGACAAACAAAAGGUCUCCUUUUCCCUGAUCAGUUAACAAAGGCAGAUAUGAAAUGUGGAGUCAGCGCUUUGUUAAAAGAGGGCAAUGUCAUGUCUGUAGAGUUGUGCCAGUAUAUAAGAUUCCACUGCUGAGUCUAUUUAUUAGAUUUUGGGGCUUGGUAGGUGGUCAGCUAACCAAGAAAGAUAGCGGUUCAACUUAGCCUUCACGUUAACAUUAACCCACCUGUUAUUCUUGGGGUCAAUUUGACCCCAUUCAAUGUUUAUCAUUCAAAAAAUUAUAGAUGACUUUUGUUUUUUUGCUUCAUAUUUCAUGACUUCCUAAUUUGAUGGGGACAACUGAAGUCAGUAGAGGGACCAUAAUUUUCCAUUUUUGGUGCUACCCUGACAUGGGAUAGGGGGAAACAAUGUUUUCACGAAAACCUUCCUGCACCAUGGGCAUGAAGAUGUGUGUGCGUAUGAGUGACCUACUGUACUCACACAUGUCGAAGUAUAGGACUGAUACUGUAUUUCCUGUGUUGUGGAAGGAGGGGUAUUCCCUCAAGGACAUUGGUAGUUCAUGCAAAAUAAUCAAUAUGGUUUAUUCUGUGAGAGUCAUGAAUGUGCACCCCAGAUUAGGAAAAUGUUGGACGAAAGAUUUUCAAGAUACACUAACUCUAAAACUGAAAGUUUGACCUGAUGGUGGCGCUACAGAAAGGUCAUAUUAUCACCAAAACCAGUGGGGUUCAUCCUCUUGUGGUAAAAAAGAUUGUCAGUAAAUUUGAGAUUUGUAUGAAAACUUUUGAAGAUACAUUGAUUCUACUUUAAAAGUUUGGUCUAUUGGUGGCGCUGGAGAACAGGUCAACUCACUGGUAGGUUUCAUUGUUAAGCACUUAUUUAUGUACUCAACAAAUCAACAAAGUGCCUGACAAAAAAUCUUGGUCAACAAUUGCAUGUAAAUCAUUUUCUGGAGGCAAAUAUACCUGGGGUCAGAUUAAACCUAAGGGUAAAAUGUGUUAGUAAUAUUUGAGGAGAAUAGGAGGGUUAAGUUUGAUGUAUAGGAUUAGCAUUAGCUUUUUUGGGGUGUCUCUCACCCCGGACAACUUGACAUGUUUUUAUUUAAUUUUAUUUGUAAAGGGACCAAGUCGAAUGGAUCUCUUUUAAAUUAUUGGGUUACAUUUGAGGUUUCAGAUCAGUUUUCUUUGCCGUUUACAGUGGGGAAAAAAGCAAAAAAAUCUGCUUCUGAAAAUAAAAGUUGAAACUAAAAUGGUGGACUUUAAGUUGGAUAUGAAACAGAAUCAUUUUGAUAUUUUUAUACAGGCUAAAACCGAAAAGCUGUUAGAGGUACCAUUUCACACAGUGUCACUAAGUCUUGAUGCCUCGACAAAAUCUGCAUAACAAAAAUACAUGAAACUUUAAAGCUGUAAGUGCUGAAUAAUGAUUGUUGCAAUGAAAGUCAAUAAACUACAUUCAAAACAAGCUCAAAGAAAUAAAUCAUGGACUAUGUAUCUGAAUUUCAGUGCAGGUGAUCCAGUCCAAGGUGACUGAGAUGUAAAAGCCUGUAACAGUGUGUUCUUGGACUGCAGUGUGUGACAAAAGCCGAGGCUGGUAAAUAUGGAUGUGUCUUUUGUUCAGGUGCGCUGAGCAAAAAGGCCUCAUGAGAGAUCAAUCUCAAUGUUGACAUUUGCAAGGGUGGGAAUAUGGCGAGCUUAAUACAAACUCAUGAAUAGAAAUAAGUGUUUGUGUGGAUCUUUGUGGUGGAUGUGGGCAGCUUUUAAUGACAGACAAACAGAAAAAGAAAAAGACAGGGUGAGUGUCAAAGUGAAAUGGAGAUGUACAAGGAGACAAAAGCAAAGAAAGAAAAUGUCUUCAGGCUGUAACUUCCUUCAGUCAGUCCUUUUGAAGCCAACACAAUAUAUUUUUGUAUCAAUGUAAACCAGUGCAUAAAAAUGUGUCACAAAAAGCAGCACAGAGGAAAUCUCAUCUCAAUGAUAUUCACUGUUGUUUGUUUGUUUCUGCCAUUAAACCAACCUGUAAUCUUAUUUUGGGCCUGUGAUCAUGUAGUCACAUAGUGGAUACAGUUUAUUAUAUUACAUCAAAUGAAAACAUCAUAACUCAGUAUAGAAAAACAGCAUGACAUUGAGAUUAAAUUUGAAAAAAUGGGAAGUUAUCUUGUAUCAUAAUUUGCACAUAUAUUUUUGAUUAAGUAUGUCUUCACCCCUGUAUUCAAUUACUGUAGAUCUCACGUUAGACUAAGAUUACCCUUAAAUAUGGCGAGCAGCUAAGAAGAGCUUUGCGGCCUAAAAUCCUAUCACCCUCUUUGAUAUUUUUAAGUCCAAAAGGAGUUUUAAGUACAUUUUAUGACUCAAAACUCUCAUAUGGAACUUUCGGUGUCAGUUUUAGCGCUACUGCCGUCUUUUAACAAACGUCAUUGGAAGUUCAGUAAGACUUGUAAAAAGCAGCUGUAUCAGGAACAUCCAUGUGGUCUGACACCAACUUUCCUCCCAGUAGUUUCAUACACAUAGACUGUGUAUAUAAUUGACGCUGUCUGCCUCCACGCUGGGUGAAGUCACUCCGAGAACAGCACCCUCUGGUGACGGGCUGCAGUAUAGGUCAUUAAUCCCGCCUCCUCCAGCAAAGCUUAUGGAGCUGUGGACAAACUUUAGAGAUUUAUCACACAGAAUAUACAUUUUUUCUCCCCCCUGCUUGCGAUGUUGACAUGUAGUUACUGUAAGACUGGUUUGUGCUCAAGUCCUCAUUUUUCUGUACAGCUCCAUUUUUAAAAGUCAUUAGGGGGCUCAUGUUUUCUAUGAUUGACACUUGAUACAGCCUAUAGGUGUACGAAGAUUGCGUAGCUCACCUGGGGGAUACGCUGUUUGAGCCGAGUGUCAUCACAGCGACUCUCCUGCUGAAUGCCUACAAUGAUACAGCGUAAUGUUGGUUCCAGGAUGUAGAGAAAAUCCUGGAAAUACUGAGAGCUUUUCGGCAUCAAAACCGUUAUCCGGAACCAAGUUGUCUAAAUAAAUACAGUCUAUGUUCAUACAUUAAAAUUCACCAGUAACUGUUGAUGUAUCGGUCAGUAUGUUUACAUGUUGCUCAAAAGAACAGGUUUAUUGCAUUAGUCCAUCUGAAAUCACAGUAGGACAAACAUACUUAGAUUAUGUGGUUCUGAUCCUACUCCAGUGUUAGCAUGCCAAGCUUUGAGUCAGAUGUUGAAUGGUGCAAAUGCAUUACAAGAAAGCCAGGUGGUAAAUGAAACCUUGAUAGACAAAGGAAAGGAUGUAAAAAAGAUUAAACUUUCCUGUUGUGCAAACAAACAGAGUUGUAAAAGUGACAGUGUUUUCAUCGUUUGACAUUCAUCCUGCCCUUUGUUAAUUGUUUGGAUUGUCAUAAUAGGUCAACUAGGAGACAGCCUGAUAGUAAAGAGCUGAAAAGGGGCAUGUAGCCACCUACAGAGUAGAGACAGACAUGCUUCUGUAAAUAAUGUGAUUGUUGCUUGCAAUGGACAGUAGUUCAGUCAAGAAGCCUGGUCAAGCUCUGGCUUUUGAUCUAAACUGUGCACGUGAACAUACUGACUCUUUCCUAUAGAAGCAGAAGUAUCUGGUGUGAUACUUAAUUCAUCAGUCUGAAUAAAUAAAUGUGAAAAUGUAAAAGGUUUUCUUCUAUUAGUCGACCAACAAUAAUAUGUGGUUGAUUUGAUCUCGGUAACCUCUCUGUUAACUUUCUGCCAUUAUAAUUGUAAUGCAGUAAACAAAUAGUGAAUCCUGUAGGGAGAUGACACCUCCACUGUUAAUGGGAAACAGCUGUCAGUGGGCACAGCACCACACCUAAAUGAGUUGCUGAAUAAAUCUGAUAUGUGGGUGGUGAUUCAGAGGUCAGGCUGGGAAAGAACUGUAAUUUGUAAAUUCACGAUACUUUAAUUGGUGGGUGAACUUUCUGUUGUGGUUAUGAUUACAGCAGCAGAGGGAAAGUAGUCCGCUCUUGAACAUGAACCUGCCUACAUUCAAGUUUGACAGCUUUGCAGUCAAACCCUCAGCAGGUUCAGCUUGGGGAUUGUUUUUCCUAUAUUGAAAUCUUCCAUCAACGUUCAAUCUAAAGUAUUCCUUACAGUAUUUUACACCCAGGAAAGGGAGAGACAGAGUGAGAAAGUCCUCAUCUAAAUGUAAAAAUGUGUGGGUUGAAGCAUGUUACUGUUCUGGUGUUUCUCUGUGGGUGCUAGAGCAUUUGAUAUGCUGUGUAUAGAGCACUGACCUGUGAUAAAAGAGGGUCAUGGGAAUCACAGGAGCAUUGCGUGGUGGUUUGUGCCUGUUAAAGUGUAGCGAUGACUGAAUGGUGAAUUUUGAAGGAUGGGUAUGCUGCUGGGGGCUGAAAUUAGAUUAAAUGUUUGCUGAGUUCAUGUUUGUGUUGGUAAGCUCUAUGACUGGAGGCAGAUUGUCAUAACAAAAAGUGUCAACUCAUGAUGCGAUUGAGUCUUUGCUGUGGGUCAAAGGGGGAAAAAAGCAACAAUAUUUCUAUAAGGACAGUGAGCAAAGGGUAUACAACAUUCACAUAUUUAUCUAAAUCAUGUAAGAAUUGUCUGCAGAUAUAUGUAGCAUUUAUUAAAAUGCUCUUAUCUAAUGGUAGAAUUUUAUUUUGGUAAUCAUGGUGGUCAGAUUUUAUAUUCGGUCCUAAACUGGCUCAUCGUGUUUGAAUUAAAUGUCAAUAUAUGUUUAUCUGUAAUUUCAGUAUAUUUGCUUUAUUUUAACGGUUUUAUUGUCCUGGUGCAACAGAUUCAUUAGCGAGUACAAGGUCCUCUUUAUGCUCUGAUGACCUUUGAAUAAAACUAUUUGCCCUUUAACAGCUUGACUGUUGUAAUCCUUCAACAACCAGCCAGCUGUGAAUAGAGCUGCGAAGCUGUUGGCAAAAUAUUAUCACCCAGCUUUCUGUCUAAUCACCCAACAGCCAGUGUCAAAUAUUGAAUUCUGAUUAGUCAAAACCCUAGACAACGAUUGUUAACUCUGAAAAGGAAAGGCGAUGCCAGGGGCAACCUGAUCACACUACUCAAAUUCACCUCUUCCUGUUGAUUUCCAACAAAAUCAUUGAUUUCCAGCAGCAUCUGUGAACACCAUGGAGGAUAUUCUCAGUAUUACUCUAUCUAGAAAGCAGUAAUAAGAGCUGUUCAAUGCAGAGAUAAAAGACUACAGAAAGGGCAAAUCAGGCAGAAAUCUGCGAGACAUGUUUAAACACGCAUGGGGCUGCAGGGUGAAAGAGACAUAGUGCAAGCAGUGCGAUAACUACUGUUGCCAUGGAAGGUCUACCAGUCAUCAAAAACUGAGGGGCAUUUUUAACGCUGUGUUAAGAAAGUACUCUACAUCAAUGAAAUCAUCGUAAAUCACUUUUCAGUAUUCACUUGUUUCUCUAUUUAAAACAGUGUUCUGCAUAGCUGAUAGGUUGCUGUUAAUAUAAGAUGAUGUAUACAGGGUUUUUCCUGGCUCAAAUUGAGGCAGAGGUGGCACCGUCCCGACCAUGCGCCAUGACGUGCAUGUAUUUGUAAAUUCAACUGACUCACUUUCUUUUACAGGCAACAUACUUUAAGUUAAGAGUUCAAAAAAGAGUGUGACCAUUAUCAUGUUAAAGCAUUCAUUUAUUAAAACUAUAUACAUACACAAAUCAGCUGGCAACUUUAAAUUGAAAGUACACUUCAUCCACACAUCUCACAACCAUACAGAACAUUUCAGCCUCCUCUUUUUCAUUCUGUAGAACCUCCUCAUGCACUCCUUGUAGUCCAAGGCCUCCUGGUCUGGUCCAUCAACGGCCACCUUACAACAGACAUCCAAGUGCCUCUCCUUCAGUCUGUUCCACAGAGGUGUCUUCACCUUAAACAAAACAAUUCAUCAUGCAUUAAGUAUUUUUGUUUUUAUUCUGAUACAGACAUGAAGAGUGAUAGUGUUUUCAAUCAUAUAUUAUAUAUAUGUAUACGUUGCAGUGUCCUCCCUAAAAAAACGACAACCAAUUAUUUCUUAAACUAUCUAAACUAUGUUAUUUAUUUUUUGUAACUUUAUUAGUUGAGUUUUUUUAGGUACUACCAUCUUUAAUAUACUUCUCCUUCUCUUCUGCUGCUUUGUGAAUGGCUGUCACCUCAUGUCUUUUUAAUGUGUCCAGCCUGUAGUUGGUUGAUGGCUGUCUCACUAAGGAGGCACCAAUUACCUGCUGUGUUGGGGCACAGUGCUUUUGGCAUAAAUAGCAGCGCAUGCCUUCCUCAGUAUGCCUGAGCCAGGUAAAUUGAUUGAGCCACUGCUUGUCAAAGCCACUGGCUCUGUGUUUUUGAGAAGAUCUGGAAAGAGGAAUAAAAACCAUGUACACGUCGGCUUUGCGUUGUUAUGCUCCUAAUUGAAAACUAAUUAAUUAAUUACCCUCGCCUCGCCGACUCGUCCUGUCCUGCAUUCUGACCCUCGCGAUCACCAGUCCCUUGUGAAGUACUUUCAGACCUGACACAAAUUUCCACGUUGUCACCAACAUGAAUUAUAGCAUUUUAACUGCCUGUUCCUUUUUUUUCUCUGCUGUGUUUCACCUGGACUCUUGACUUUCCUCCUCGCGAGGUCGCUUUUUAAAGUACUGGCUGAUUUUGCCUGUCAUAUCUGCAACGCUAAAAAACGGAGGAAACUUUUUUUUUAAUAAACACGACAUGCUUGGAUGCAAAAAAGAGAAGCAGUAUUUACCUGUUUGUACCAUCCGCCAGGGAAAAUCAGGACGCCGAUAGCACCAACUAGCGGGAAAAAAACUUGAAAAAACAUGAUUCGAUCCGUUUCUUCUUCGGUAGAUGCUUCAGGUCUUUCCGGUGCACUGCUGUUGAUAUAGCGCCUCUAUAGUGGCGCAACGCUGCAACUGCAGUUAAAAUACGUUGCUGCUGCAGAGGGACAUCAUACACUCAAUCAACACAGCUGGAGCUUUACGCUGUGUUGAGCGAAAUCAAUCGCUCUGGCUGGGGGCGGCACAAAAUUAGGUGGAGGCGGCCGCCACGCAAUUUUGAACGCAGGAAAAACCCUGGUAUAGUGAGUCGGUGGUCAUGCAAAGUAGAAUCUCUGAAUGGUGAGAGAAGACUGGUGCUUUACUUCACAUUGAGGUCUGAUCUUUCCUUUGUCAGCCAUAAAGGAUUCUGAAGUUUUAUGCUCUACAAGUAAAUAAUGGGUAACAUUUCAAUUAUUAUCCAUUAGGGGUGGGAAUCACUAGUGGCCCCAUGACAUGAUAUUAUCACGAUACUUGGACCACGGUACAAUAUUAUUGCGAUUUUUAACAUUUUGCAAUGCAGUGAGUAUUGCAAUACAAUAUAUUGUGAUUUUUCAACUGUUUAGCUAAUUUGGCAUUUGGCUUUUCUUUAUGUUUCUCUUAUUUAUGCUGUAUUUUAUUUUCAUGUAGCACAUCUUACAAACCUUACAUAUAUUUGUUGUACUAAUUUUCUCCUGCUCUAUGAUGACCCCUCUGCCAACCUCACUGGACAAACAGUAGAUUUUAUUUUUUCCAUUAUCAUGGAUUUGACUUCAUAUUAGCAAUUAAUUUUAAAAAUCGAUACUAGGUAAAUGAGAUGAUACGAUGUAUCCCCAGACAAAAUAUUGCGAUACUAUGUUGUAUCCAUUUUUUUCUCCCACCCCUAUUAUCCAUUUUGUGCAGUGAUGAGAAACUAGUAUUUUACCUCAAUGCUAACAAGACAAAGUAAUACCACAAAUUUUAUACAUGUGCCAGACUCCUUUAUAUAUAUUGAUAUGACAUUAAUAAUCUAAAUGUCCCUGGUGCUGCUUUUGCUAUUCAGAAUUAAUUACUGUUUCAGUGGAUUUCGACCAAUCAGAAAAAAGUCUGUCUAAAAUUAACACAGUCGCUAAAAGUUAUAUGACUUGUCUGCUGUCAGUGUUCUUCUGAGUUGCUGAGGGGGAGGUGGAAAUGGGCCACAUCACUCUGUCUUUUCCAAUGUAAAUAUACUGUCGUAUAGAAAUUUUAUUCAAAGUUUAUAUUAUUUUUUGAUCUGACAAUAAAAAGCCGAAAUAUAUAUUAAUGCUGUUUUAUGGUAUUCAUACACAGAAAAGAGUAUCAUAUUUUUUAUGGCUGAAACUGGUGUGAGGGGGUAGGUAUCAGCAAAGCUUCUCAAAGGCAGCUCUGUUUCUAUAGUUUCUACAUAAAAAUAUUCACUAUAAAUAAUGAGGUGAGCAAAGGCUGCUUUAUCUACAGGUUUGAGUCAGAGUAAACACAUGCACGGCUUUAAGAAUCUUACUGUAGUCUACGGAAGACAUGAAGGAAGGAGCGAGAGUAAAAGUCGAAUAGAAAUGGUGGGAAAAAACUUUCUAUCAGUAUAUUAAUUGUCAUCUAAGUUGUACGGAGUCUGUAUGAGGAAGGUUGACCUUAACAAACUUCCAUUCUUCAAAAGAAAGUAGACAGUGUGGAAAGGAGAAAAAAGUAAAGCAGGCAGAGUCAAUACGAGAACAGUCUCAGCCAGCUAAAGAUUUGUCUGCCAAAAGGGGACAAAAGGAAAGAUUUCAGGUCGAAAGGAGGAAAGAAAAGCUGUUUCUUCUUCAAAUAUCUGAAUGUGCUUGACGAUCAGGGGCUCUUAAGGGGCCAACAAGUUCAACAUCAACUCAAAUGUUGAAUACAUUAUAAAACAACCAUGAAAGUUUACGCUCAUCUAUGACCUCUCUAUUUUUGUCAGGAAAAUCAAAUUUCAUGUGUUUUACAAGCUGUCUCUUCAGUUACAUACUGGGUUAUCUCCAGGUCACAUGCGGGAGCAUCUGUAUAUAAAGAAUGAGGACGUGAGGAUGAUGAGAUGGAAAUAACUCCACAAGUUUACUGUCAUCUUUGCAGAAAAACAGCAGAAGGGACUAAGCAAAAAGAGUCAUCACAGCUAUAGUCUGAACAUAAAAGAGCAGGAGAUGAAAUAAGGAUAGUUUGUGGAAAGUCACUCAGCUCCAGUCUUUCCUUUAAACAUUUUUGGUAAACAACCCUCAUCAAAUGUGUUCAAAAAAGUGAAGAUGUGUGGUGUAGCUGCAGUUUACAAAGCUCUGGGUGUUAAACAGAGCUCCCGCUUUGUCUGCUGAAUAAUCAGAUGAUGUUUGGAGACUUUAUUGAUUUCUUUUGUUGUUAUUCUGUGGUGGCAGUCCUGUCCUCUGCCAGCUCACUGUGUAAAGAGUCAGAGGCCCACAGGAGAGGAUACACACCCAUACACAGACAUCACAACACACACACACACAAAUUAUUAUGUUUAAGAUUGUCAUUUUACUCAUUAAUUUUACUUAUUUUUUCUUUUUAUCCGUGGUGUGAAGUCACAGCGUACUAUCUAAGUGGGAACUUUUGUCACUAUUUACUAACCAACAGGGAACCUUUGCCAUUCCAAAAAGUGGAAGUCCCUUUUUUCUGUAAUGUGCAUGGUAAAAAAAAAAAAUGCAUUCUUAGAAGUGUAGACUGAUCCUUGAAAUAUAUUGAAAAAUCAAUAGAAAUCCAAUUCUUGUGAAAACUGGUUAAGCGAGUAUCUUGGGAAUGAAAAACUUCAGGAGUCUUGUCAAAGUCUGAAAUGUGUGUGUUUUUUAAGCAAUUGCUUAAUUUUUUUUUCAAAAACGAAGAUAAAACAUCUAGAGACAUGUUCUGCACCCAGUAACCUGUUAAACAGCCCCUCUCAGGGAGUGUGUGUAAAACGACAUGUGCUUAAGGGUUGUUGUAAUUCCGGCCUCGGCCUACAGGGGGAUAGCCUCGCAUGGACUUCAACACUCACACACCUUCAGGUCCCCACUUGGCUACAAUUAAAAUGUCCCCUGUUGGCUAUGAGGUCCCCUCUUGGUGAAAGUGUUACGACACCAAGUUCCCCUCUUGGAUAGGUAGGAAAGUGUACACACACACACACACACACACACACACAUGCAGAGUGAUGCACAUGACUUUAAGUGGUGAGUGAGGUUCAUCUCAACAAAACCGGCAGCUGCAGGUCUCUCUGUUUCUCUCUGCCAAUCCCAAUCACACACUUUUCACACACACACACGCGCUGUUUGGUCGAUCAGACAGCUUGUAUGAAUGAUGAUCUAUCACAGCCACAUAUAUUGAAUCGAGGUCUAAUCUCAUGAGGUGUUUGUUUAGAGGACACACAGGGCUCACACACCAUGAAACCCUGCAGCGACAGAGUUAAUGGACAAUCUGAGGGAGUCCUAGCCAAUCACUGAUGACAGCCAGAGGCCAGGGAGUUUGAGAUUCUUAUUUAAUGAGUCUGCAGCUGAAGCAUUACUCACACACAUGCUCAAAAAAUUAACUUCAAGUAUUUAUUUGCUUGGUUAUGAGAAAUAAACACUGCAGCUUGAAAAGUUUUACCUCUUUAUAUCUUUGUUUUUUAUUUUACUUCAUCAGGGAAAGCUUUUAUGAUGAAGGACAGAUGGAAUGAGCAAUAUAAACUUGGAUGAUAUGAUCCAGAAAAUGAAAAUUUCAGCAAAUAAAAAUAUACUAUUUGGCAGCAAAGUUUAUCAUUUCGUAAACAGUGACACAAAAAAAGGCUCUAUGAACAGCUGUUGUUUCAAUCACUUGAAAAGGAAGGAAAAUUAAAGUAAAAUUUGUACUUUGUACAAAAAAUCAAGAGUGGAAGUUGUCAUAUAAUAAGUAAGCCGAAAUCCAGCCAUUAGGAAGAAGAUAUAAAGUGUUUAUCUGCUAAAAAUAUCACCAAGAGUGGAGGUUUGACACGUCUCCGGGCUGUAUCAGGAUAAGUGUUUUCAGCUUUAAGAGUGAAGGAUGAGGACAAGAGCGUCUGGCAGGAUCAACACGAAUCUCCUGCCUCAGAUAUAUGAUUGCAUUGAAAAUCCACAAAGCUCGACAUGAUAUUUUCACAUCCCAGAGGCCCCUGCAGCUCGUCCCCGUCUCAUAUGUGCUCUGAACGCUGAUCGAUUCCACACUCAGCCCCACAGAGCUUUUAAAUAUUUCACAUUCAAGUACAACUCCGAGUUGUCAAGAAAAAACGAUUAACAAGUUUCAGAGUCGCGCUGAGCUCUCUGGAGGAAGAAAAUGUGCGAGUCAGACGAGAAGAAGUCUGCAGGCACUGAGGAAACAAUGAAAUGUCAAGAGUGUUUAAAUGACUGUCAUCUCUGACUCGACUUACAUUUAGAAUCAACGUUUACACAGUUUGAUCCCUGCAUCAGUGUCCAACUGGUAUACAAGUAAGAGAAAGCAUAGUGAAGAGGUGAUACCUCUCACUGGAGGGAUUCAAACUCAUUUUGUCAUUAUCAAUUCAACACAAAAUAUUAACUGAAAGAUGAUUUAUAGAUUUCAAUUUUAAAAAAUGGUCCCUCUGAUUUCGCAGCUGUUAGUGCUGUCAUGGCAACAGAUACUAAUCUGUCUUCUCGCAGCAUGAACAAACAUCAAGUCAAACCUUUCAAUCAGCAGUCAAAUUACAACAUUAGCAUGCAAUUACACUGAUUAUUUAAUUGAACGUCUCCAUGGAGAGUAACGCAAGUAAGGGUCGACAGGGCUGCUGCAGCCUAGCCUGGUUAUUUUUCAUAAUAAUUCGGGUCAUACUGAGGAUUUCACUUCGAGGUCAAGCCACAGUCAGACCAAUCAUUUGUCAUUACUCACAUUAAACUGAACAUUUUGAUUGACAUGGUGAAUUGACAUCCUCAUUUAGUAACACGACCACUCAUGGUUUAAUGGUGUGUUUGAGUCAGAUGUCGGAGCAGAAAAUGAUGUCACACCCGAGUUCCCAGCGUUUCAGUUACUAAGUCGGAGAACAGCAAAUUAGAAACCUGAAACAAAAUGGCUACAUCUACGAAAGAUAUUUUAGCACUUGCCUUAUAUUCAGAUAAGACAAGCACUAAGAAAACUUUCAUAGAUGUAGCCAUCUUGUUUCCACCUCUGAUUUUGCUUUUUGCUAACAUGGUGACUGAAACGCUGGGAACUCGGGUGUGACGUCAUUUUCAGCUCCGACAUCUGACUUCCGAGGUAACUCGAACACAGCAUUAGCAUCUUGGUAGUGAACGGUAACUUGGAGACGCACUCCCCUGCUCUGUUGCUGUUGCCUGGAUUGCAGGACAUGAUCUAAUAUAUACAUAUCAACAUGCCUUAUCUACCAGCUAUUCAUGCUAACCAAAACCAGCCAAAAAAAUGUAUAUACUCAAGAACUCUUCAUCCCAUAUUGACUGGAAUGACGUGUUUUGGUUGUCUCUGACAUUGCUGUUGCUAGUUAUAAUAAAUUACUGUUGUCAAGAGGUUUUGACCAAUCAGAAGCGAGUAUUAGAGGCAGCUUUAUGAGCAGAGUCAGUGGGAGUUGCCCCCAAGUUGUUGCACCAGGCCUAGGACAUGUAAGAUAGCAUGCUUAGAAAUUCAGUCAUCUUUUGACACAAAUCACAGCGAUAGUGGAUGGUAAUAUAAACUUACAGAGGAAAAUUUUGUUUGGAAAAUACGUUUUAUUUAUUGAAAUUUUGAUAUGUCUUGAGUUUAACCCAUAGAACUCCCAGCUAUAUUUUGCUAUUUUUGGUCCGCCUGUUUUUUCUUUUUUUCUUUUUUUUUUGAUAAAAAUCUAUGUAGCAACUCUGUCCUUUCAAGCACAGCAUAUAUAUACAUAUGUUUUUUUUUUCAGGACAACCUCAGCUGUCAGUUUAUGGGUGCAAAUGGGUGUGACAGAAGUAUCAGAACCAUCAAAGUCAACCAAAAAACAGAAAUUGAUACCAACAGUACUUUGCUAAAAAAAAAUAAAAAUAAAUCUAUAGUGACCAAGCCUUUUCUCACACAUCAUGCACAUCAUUCUGUUAAGUCUUGGCUAUCAGGAAAAGAAAUAUUGGGAUUGGAACAAACACACAACAGAAACUAUUUACAUAUUUACACCAAUUCUUCCAGGUGUUUUUUGCUAUUUACAGUUGUUUAUGCCACUCCUUAAAGCAGUUCCUUUCUGAGAUGAGACAGAGGACCACAUCAUACUGCUCAUGAUCUCUUCUUUGCUUGUUUCCAAGCAUUGGGGACCAUUAUUUCUUGUUUUGCAGACAAGCAGGGAACUUUCUUGUCUCUUGUUGAUCUUUGGUUGCCUCUUAUUGGACACUACCAUCAAGAGAACAAUAGUAGAAGGAUAUGAGACCAUGUAAUAUGAGACAUAGAAUAUGAGAUAUGUAAUUGGUCGAAAGUUUGACAGGAAAAGAUAUCAUCAAAACAGCUUAGCGACAUUUAGCGAUAGUGACCUUUUUUUUAUCACAACAAUAGGAUAAAUAAUGAUAACAUGUUUUCACCGGUAUGUCACUGCGGAUUUACCAUCAAACAUCUUGGAUGGUAAACCUUGUGGGAGAUGUAGAAGUGCCUGAAAACCCUUGAUAGGGAUUGAACACUUUUCAUCCCACAGAGAUACACAGUAUAGUUCUCAAGAAACUGUAAACAAUGUUAAUGGUGUCAUGUGGGAUCGCUAGUGAUUCAGCAGAGUUCUAAGUGUUAAAACUUUUAUUCCCUUAAAUAGUAUUUGUGGGGAGUUUUAUGGUAGACUCAGCAAUAGUUUUUGAGAGAAGUGAUUUAGGUUACUUUUACUUUUUCCUCCUUCUUGGAUUUGAGUAUUUUCCUCUUUUUUAUGUUAUAUAAAAGAUGAAUACAAAUGUGAGUCGUGACUUUUCUUGAAUAUAAAUAAAUCUGUUCUGUAUUUUCGUUCAGUUGACCACGUUGGGCAUUCGGUCUGUAAAUUCUCAGAUCAGUGUGCAUUCAUGUUUCAUGUUCAUCCACCAACCUUUGAUCUCCCAGCUCACUCUGUUCUCAUAGUGGUGAACAAUGGGAGAAGGAGAGGGCAGCAGGGGGCUCAGCAUCAACACUGCACUGUUGACUCUCCUCUCUGGCCAACAUCAGCUGGUGAUACUCAGAGGUCAUCUUGGGUUUGGUAGGGUUUUUCAACGUGGUUAUCUCCGACCUGGGCAAAGUUCACAAAGACACAUCAGUUCUUAUUCUGUCUAAAGCUGGUACUUUGGGAAGAGGAGAGAGGUUUAAGAAGAGAUUAAAUGCAUUUAGAAGAAGUUUGAGUCUCAGGAAGAAGUGGCAGACUGUAGGAAUAGGGAGAAAAUAGAGGUCGUGAAAGAUAGCUGAGACAUUUCACAGAUUUAAUGAGAGUGACGACCGGGAGAAAUAUCAGCUUCUGUCUGCAGCUGCUGUGAUUCAAAGGUACAAUAGAUAAACAGUUGAGCACAGAAAGACCGAUGUAUGUCGAUGGGAGAACAAAAGGAAACACUCAAACAGAUACACAUACUGUAUGUUACAAGGUUAAAUGGAUUUGUUGGCUGAAUCCUCCAGAUAGGAGGGGACAGCACAACGUCUUUGUUCUCAUUAUGAGUCAAUCUUUAUUCUUUAAAGAUUUAACAUUUGACUCUGUGUGUGAUCACUUAUGGUGAGACUCUAAUCACAGUGAUAGCUCAUCUGACACUCAAAGCUCAUUAGACUCCCUGUUUAAAGGGCUGAAGUACAAUCACACUUGUUUCGUUAAUUGAUUGCUUUGAACGAUCUCUGAGAGGAUGGGUGUGUACCGUAACAUUUGCAGUGAGAACAAUCAAGAAACAAGAUCAGAAAAAAUAAAUCAGCCUUCCUUACAAAUUUAGAUAAAUCAGGAGAAACUAUAGUUACAGGAGAACAAUAAUUUGUUUCACAAGAUUUAAAAAUCAAUGUUAAAGGGAUAUUCCGGCGUAAAAUUAAUUUAGGGUCAAACACACUGUAACACUGAGUUAGACACCCCCUCGAGAGAUGAAUGUUGCCGACCGCUUGCUUCUCGAGUUAUACCAACUUUAGUAAUGACCAUGCGAUAGCAAUACACAGCGGUCUGAGGAGCCAUAAACAAACCUCAACCAAAACGCCACUCUAUAGCCACAAAUAAUGCUCAGAACAGCACCUAACUUCAUCAACAGUACAUAUAGGGUCCUAGCCACAUCAUUAGCCACCAAUCUUUUUAACUUUGCCUAAUUUCUUUAGAAAACAGACUAAACACAACUCACCUACUCUCUUCCAGCAGCCGCUAGUUUGUAGCGAAACCUCGGACCAGUCCAUUACAGACUACAGUGGGGUGACACAGCUCAAGGAAGAACAUUUAUGAUCAUUACUUUAUCAUUUUCUUGAAGUAAUAAUCACCAUAUUAAUCCUUUUGAACUGCAGACACGGUAGUUCUUCUGCGUAAGCGUCUUGGUCUGAUUGCAUUUCCAUGAAGAAAUGAUCAUAAAUGUUCUUCCUUGAGCUGCGUCACCCCGCUGUAGUCUGUAAUGGACUGGCCCAAGGUCUGCUACAAACAAGCGGCUUCUGGAAGAAAGUAGGUGAGUUGUGUUUAGUCUCUUUGCUAAAGAAAUUAGGCAAAGCUAAAAAGAUUUGUGGUGGUGAGUGUGGUGCAGGAAGGUUGAAACAAUCCAUGCUGAAACAGAAAACUGAAGGAGCAGAGAGGAGCGCAAAUUUAAAGUCUGGCAGCAGCAGGAUGGAGUUUGUGUCAAAGCCUGUUUGUAAAAAAGUUAACACCUAUGUUCAGGUGCCAGGAUGGCAUGCCUUGGUCACAGGAAAUAAAACACAAGGUGAGGUCAGUGUAAAAGACACCUUUUUGAGUCUAAGAUUGAUUCUGAAGUCUGUUCUUCUGGUUUCAGAUUCUGUCUUUGCUUCAGUAAUUCAUAGAGACAGGUCUGUGCCUGCAGGGGUGUGUUAUGGGAGAAGAGGCCACACUUUCAAGAAUAUAGUAUUUAUGAAAAAGCUGCAUCAGACUAAUGCGUGGGCUUAUAGCUCCGAUAUUACUGUUGGGAAGAGGUAGAUGAAAUCAUACCUGGACACUCACACACAAACACACACAGGUGUUAAAUAAUGCAGCGAGUAUCACUGCAGGCCUGGUGUUUCAAAUGAGCUCUGUGAAGAGGGAAAUUUACGGACAGAGAUCCACAGUGAGAGUUUUAAAGCAUCCAUGAUGGAGAAGCUGCUGGAAGGAGAUCAAAUAAGAUCACGAGCUGACGUCACGUGACAAACGGGGUCUUCCUCUCAUCGAUCCGUUGUUUGGAUUUAAACAGGAAGUUUCAGUGCGACAAUUGUACAGCAGUAAUGUUUUUUUACAGUGAAACACCAGUGAAAAUACAUCUGCAUUAUGAAUACUGCUCUCAAUAAAAGCGAGUCAAAGACACAAUCAAAGUUAUGUACCUAUAGUCUCCUAUCCACAGUGAUUAUGAAGGUUUAUCAAUGUGAACCUGAAUGCAACACGUAUACUCCAAGUAUGCAUGUGGGCUGUGAGCUGCCGUGUAUUGAAAUGUUAGAACACAAUUAUGUUGUGUGAGAAUUAAACCUUGAUACCCGAUCAUCAACAAUGUUCUUGUAUCAGGUGGUAUAUUAACACCUCACACUGAGCAGAUAUCGAGUUCAACACAGUGAUGCACAUGCACACCUCGCUGGUGAUAAUGAGGCAGAUAAGAAGUAAAGCUGUGAUAUUUCAGUUCCAAUCAAACUGCUUUAACUUUUUUAAUCGACUCUUUUCAUCUAUAAAGGGAUUUUUAUCUGCACGUAUAUCGUUUAUCUCUUAUGAAAAUGAUGUUUUACGCUCAAGAAAAAGGGAACAGAUGCAGUUUGACCUGUUAAGAUGCAGGUAAUUUACUGUUUACUCAGCAGAGGAUUUAUGCACCAGGUGCGGACGGCAGCUGUGUUUAUUCAAAGCGAUGAAAUCGACUAAACCAAGGAUUUAUAGAAUACAACUUCAUUUGUACACAGUGAGCGGUGCAGGAUUGACUUGUGUUACUGUAAGGUUUGCAGCAAACUUUCUAUCCAUCCCUCCAUCUUUUUAUCCAUCUGUCAGAUCGUUCUGAGUGAAUGUGUGAGGCAGGAGGACGGUGAUCCAGAGCGAUGGAUAUCAGACCUUUCAUUUCCAUCAGAGUAAAGGUCAACAGAUCCUCACUCUUUUCCUCCUGAGCUUGAAGGAUUGGUGGAUACUGGGAGAGGAUGGCAGCAGGCUGACAAUACAAGAGGUCUCUUCAGGCAAGAGUAAGAAAGAAAGCUGUUAUCCUCUGACCUUUAAGCCCACCUAAAAAUAAGGCUAGGGGGUAUGUUGGGUGUUUUAUUGCACAACGAUGUAAUUCAGAAUAAGGACAAGGGAAAGUUUGUUUCAUAGCUUACAGAAUUUUAGCCAAAGAAAUCAAUAAAUCCAACAGAGGAUGCAAAACUUUACUGAGCAAACAUGUAAAUCAGUUUGUGUGUCAGUCAAAACUGAGAAGGAAAGGAAAGGGGCAAAAAACUAAAACAGAGGGUGCAGCUACUUCGACCUUACACAGACUAGAUAAAGUUCUAUCUAGUCUUCAUUAAAUAUGCCCUUUCUGUAUGGCUUACAAUACACCACAGAGUCAAAUAAGCUUUAUUAAGGAUUUCAGCUGAACCAACCCCAACAUGGCCAUUAAAAUUAGUCAGCAAUAGCUGUUUUAGCCGUCAUUAAAUACACAUAUAUAUAAGAUUUACUUAUUGAUUUUUCGGAUGUCAAGUGUAACUGCGUCAUUCUGGGUCCAUCCUCUGAAAGUGUUUCCUCUUGACAUUUGUAGAGCUGAUUUACUUCCACAUCAUCUCUUAUCUUUACAAGCUUUAAGGCAGAAGAGUGUGCAAGAAAAAUAAAACCAAACCUGAGGAAGUACAAAGUCAAGACAAUUUAGUCUACACAGCCCCAUCCAUUAUCACAUUAUGUCCUCAAGGGCUUUACAGCCUAUAUGGUAUACUAAAGCCUCUCACAAUUUGGCUUUUUACAGACAAUUUAAGUGGAAAAAAAACUCUAAAAGUGGAAAUCAAAUGAGGGAAAUCACAGAUAUAUUACUACGGGCAUUUGUGAUAUUUGGUCACACCAUCAGCUGCAUGAAAAUCAGAUUCUUUAAGCCAGAGAGAGUUUGAUCGUUUUUAUGUUGAUGGUCUGAAGCAUGAAGGACGUUACUGAGUGAACCAAGAUAAAUGUUGACUGAUUUAAUCUCAGAAACAGCUUUUUAUGGAUGACAUGAGUGACUGAUUUAGUCUGCACAGAUGAAAGUGAAGCACUGAGGCGUGCCAAACCAUCAGGGCUUCAGUGUUCGUACUCGUGUUGAAUCCAAACAGGAUGGAGUAAAAUUUGGUUUGCAUCAUAUUGAAUAUAUAACCCUUAGUGAAUACAACUGCAAUAGUAAUUAUUGUUUUCUCUCACUCUUAUAUACAAGCAAAGAUACAGUCAUACAGUACUAUCCCAUACACUGACAGUGUUUUUUGUUUUUUUUUAGUGCAGAAGGUGCACAAAAAUAAAACAAAUCAAAAACUCUGAGAUUUACUCACUCUAUCAAUCACUGUUUCACUUCUCCAAGGAGCACAAAAAUUGAAUGCAUGGUAGUAAAAGUAAAUUGAAUUCAGCCGUUAUGUUAGAGUAGUUAUGCUGCGUUCCAGUUGUACUGGGAAGUCAGGAUUUCUGAGUUCUGAGUAGGAAUUUUAUCAAACAGCGUUUCCCUCGGGUGAGCUACGCGACCUUCGUACGCCCACAGGCUGUAUUAAGUGUCAAUCAUAGGAAACGGGAACCCCUGAAUAACUUUUAAAAAUGUACAGAAAAAAGAGGACUUGAGCACAAACCAGUCUGACAGUAACUACAUGUCAACAUGUCAAGCAGGGGGGAGAAAAAAUUAUAUUCUGCCCAAUAAAUGUCUAAAGUUUGUCCACAGCUCCAUAGGGAUGGCUGGUGGAGGCGGGAUUAAUGACCUAUACUGCAGCCUGUCACCAGAGGGUGCUGUUCUCGGGUGGUUUCACCCAGCGAGGAGGCAGACGGCGUCCAUUCUAUAUACAGUCUAUGACUGGAACGCAGCAUUAAUGCCGAGCAGAAGAGUCUCACUUGUUCAUGUUCACUAUGAGCACCUGAAAUCACUUUCUAAAGGCUGUAGAACUGAGGUCUAGAUCACAUGACUUUCCAUCAAUCACCCUCUAAAUGAGAAAAAAAAAAGUACAGUGUACUUUUCACUCAGUGCUGAAAAGGUUGGACAUGAGAUUUUGAAUGAUGGGCCCUGGAGGAGCCAUUAUCCAGAGUUGUAGUUUUAAUGCUGGGCCUGGAGCAAAGUUAUGGUAAAACACAUCAAAGCUGCUUUAUGACUUUGUCCUCCUCAUGUCACAGCUCGCUCCGGCUGGCACUGGGCCCACAUGCCUUCGUCCUCUGACCUUGUUCAUGAUGUGGCCGUUAAAACUGGAGCGUGCGAAUACUCACGGCUGCUGUCCAACUCACAUACUCAAAGCCAAUAAACACACACACACUCAGACACAAACACACACACUCACACAGGGGCACACAGGACGGCAGUAAGGUGAGAGCCCCUCGUCUUUGUUUUGCAGUCAGCUAAAACAUGCCACAGCUCAUUGCACCAUUCAGCAUGAAAUUACAGUUUCUGACAGACGUCUGCUGAUGAGUGGGGAAAAGAAAACAAAAGGACAACAAGGUAACUAUCUGACACUGUUGCUUCAUAAAAGACUCCCUUUGAAAAACCUCCUUUUAUAUCCAGACACACUUGAGAUGUGACUGUAUUACCAAAGGUUUGGCUUUGAAAGGAGGAUGAAAUUCAUACUGCAGACUUUUUAGAAAUACAUGCACAUAAAGGAGAGGAUCUGAAGGACAUCUUUGGUCUUUGACUUGAGGCUAAUUACAGGCAAACGGGCCUGACAUGGACGAAAAAAGGGUUAGAAAAGAAGAGCCGGAGGGAGUGAUGACCAUUAAAGACACUCACAGAAUAACUCCCUGAAGCAGCAGAUGAAAUGUGGAGACUGAAAUGGAUUUGUCUUUGUAUGUGUGAGUUAUGGACAAGGCUGAAAGGCAAAAUAAGAAGAAACAAAAACCUCGCAAUUUUAUUAAAGUUUGAAGAAAAGAAGUUCAAACUGCUUUGGGGCAGAUCUGUUCUCUGACAGAAUAUGCUGUUUACAAGAAAUGCUUCAUUUACACCGAUCUCUGGCAAAGAGGAUAAAAUUUAAUGGAUUGAUAUAGUUUGUUGAAUAAUGAUUGUAUUGAGGUAAAACAGCAGAAAUUUUAAAUUGGUGUUUUGUUAAACCAGCUGCUACAUUUGUAAGUGAAUUAGCUAUCCUCUGUCAAGGUUUGUGGAUAUUGAUUUUGGGCUCAAGGAAUGUGUUCAGGAUGUGUUAGCUGCUCAAUAAUGAUUCAAUUCAAAUGGUUUAGAAUGAUCUGAAUUAAAUAAUCCUGUCGAUAAAUACUGCUAAUGACUGUCAUGAUGUGUUCUAGUAAUUAGUUUUCCUCUGAUUUUGAUCAAUUAAGUGUAUUUUCUUGUGUUUUUCCGAGUGUUUCUGCUCCCUAGUGUUCCUGUUCCCCUUUCAUCCUGUCUUGUGAGUUUUAAGUUUGUGUCUGACCCUGUUUCCCUCAUGUUCUCACUGUUUUUUUCUUUAUAUCAGUUUUCAGUGUUUCCUGUUUUAUUUUGUAGUAAUUUAUUCCAUGUGUUUCUAGUCUUGUGUUACUUCCUCAGUUUUCCCUCCUCAGUGAUUGUCUGCACCUGUGUCUCAGUGUCUCACCUGCCUCUCGUUGCUCGUUUCCCCGUGUGUGUAUAUAUAGUCCCUGUCUUCCCCUGUUUCUUGUUGGUUCAUUAUGUAUGUUUGUUGGUUGGUUGGUGUGUGCUCAUGUCUGUUUUCCCAGUCGCUCCCUGUGAUUUUGCCCCAUUUUGGUUCUUUAGAUUUUGCCUCUUGUGUUUUUUGCCUUUGGGAUUUUUUUAUUUGGAUAAUUAUAGUAUGUUUUUGUUUAACAAUGUUACAUGACACCAGUUCUGCCAAAAAGACCAAGAGGGUCAUGACUGCCAAUACUGCUGAGAACCCUCGAAAACCCCUUACUCCCCUCACAACCCCUUACUCCAAAACCAUACAUCCAAUACUACCGGUACCCUAAAAGAGACCGUUAAAAGACAGUACCAACAAAACUACCAAUGACACCAUAUCGCCCAAAAGACCAACCAAAAAUGACAAAAACCCCAAUACCACCAAAACUCCUACAGCAAACACUGUCAAUCAACACGGCCAAUAAAGCAAAUAAUGUCAACACCACCAAAAAGACCAAUACUGCCAAAAAUACCACAACCAUCAAACCCUCUGGUUCUGCUUGUGACAUCGAUUUAGUUGGAGAUUCAGAUGCUGCUGCUGUUGCUUAGAUGUCAUCUCCCAAUUGGAGGGUCAAGUGAUUCCGCAAGAUACUUGACCCCAACCAAACCUGCUGGCUGCGUCAAAGGUGUUUGGAUGGGAUAAGUCAUACAAUGAUGGGCUCUUUAGAUAGCAGCCUCUCAGUGAGUGAAUGGGUGAAGGUGACAUGUAGCAUAAGUGCUUUGAGUGUUCAGAAGGCUAGAGAAAGUGUUUUAUAAACAUGUUUCAGGAUCUGGACCACAACUCAAUCCUUCCUCUCUUAAUUCAAACCUUUCCACCUACUCUCCUUUAUUCUUCUUUUUAGCAACUCUUCUUUCCACACCUUUUUUUUUGCUAUUUCACCUAGUCCUCCUAACCAGAGGUGAUACUAUAUGACAGUGGAGCUAUUGAUUAAUAUUGGACGAUAUUAAUGAUUCAUAACAAUAAAAUUCACCAAAAUUAUAAAAAGGCACAUUUUCCUAAAACAGCUGUUGUUGUAUGAAGAGUCCCUUGGUGUGUGUGUGGUGAUUUCGGGAUCUACUGUAUAACAGUGGAGCUAUUGAUUUUUGUUUGCAGCAUCUUGCUCUGGUAUCGUAAUUUACAGACGAUCCCUGCGCACUCAUCCAGCUCGAAGAACAGCUUGUUUUUGUAAAAACAAAUAAAUUUUUGGUUCUUGUAGCUAGUAGUCUGUGCUAUUAUGACAUGAAAGAGGCAUCAUUUGUGUUUAGACAACAUUUCCUCUCAGAGUUAUUGAUCCCAGAAGUCCGAAUCUAUGAAUAUCUUUCCAACUUUACCGAACUUUGUUCCACUGCUGCCAUAAAUUAGCUUUCUGGCACAUGACACACAAAAACAAGCACCUGGCUCUUUCGGUUUUCGGCACCAGCUUCCUUGAGGCUUUCCAUCGUUUCCAGCCUCGCCAUUUCUUCGCCAUUUCUUCUCCUGGAUUGAUGCACCUGGCAUCCAUCGUUUGAAAUUUGCUGUCGCCGCUGGCUGAUGCGUCUUUUUCUUGUUCCACUUCUUCUUCUUCGGCAGGAUGUAUGUUAUCCAGUGUAAUGCUGUCCUUUACCGGUCAUAUUCAGAUCCAACCAACCAAGUUUUUUUUUUUUUUUUGACAUUAUUUAGAAAAAAAAAUUCCUUGCCAGAUUUCACUGCACCGUGCUGGAGGUCUUCAAGCAAUUUAGAGAGUUUUCCCGAGGCUAGACAGCAAGAAGUUCAACAUAUGAUUUUUGUCACUAUUCCUAGAACACCAAUUUCUUUUUUUUCCAACUAGUCCCACUUGAGUGUCAAGCGAUUUGCUGUAUUGAAGGAUCUCGCCAUUGAAGGAUAUUUUAUUGAGGUUCAGUCAUGUUCUGUUGAAGGUCAGUGAGAGGGAAGCUUUGUGUAAUGUCAGAGGUGGAGCUGCUGUAGGCCCCGUUUCCUGUAAAAGUCACCAUAUGUAAUCUGUUGACCUCUAUCCCCAUCACACACACAUGCACACACGACUGUUACCUUGGUUAAACAACGAAUCCCUGAGGAUACAGAGCUCUGACUCACAAUCACCCUUUUCUCUCUCACACAGCUCACUCGGUGGAAUUGAACAAACAGCCAAGAGCAACAUUUCUGACCAUGUGUACUAUGCUUUCAUUUUUUCUCUAAUGCAAACAUCUUACACAACAGUUAACAAAAAUGCACGUCAGCUUGUAUUGUGACCCCCCUGAGUUGCCCCCUGCAGUAGAGCUUUAUCAUGCUGUGACUCCUCGGAGGACCAGAGGCUUCAAUUGCAACACAAACUCUACCAGAGAGCUCCCGAAUGGCUCUAAAAGUGCUCACAUCUGAUCAAAUAAAGUGUUGUGUUGAAUUCCAGCUCUGUGGCUCUGUUAUUCAGAGGGCAUUUUUAUCCUUUUCUGCUCCAUAAAAUGUCUGUUACUGAGGAAUGUCUUCCUAUCGAUUUCAAAGGACAGUUUGACACCCUCUUGGUCUAUUGUAGAAAGCAUCGACAGCCACUUUCAGGAAGAAAGAUCCUGUCUCUCUUUCAUGUUAGAAGUAAAUUGGCUUCCUCUGAGGACUAACUUUUCAACCCACUCCUGUCUGUGGUGCACCUCUUGCUUUAAAGGUGGCAUUAAGAGAAGGGAAUGAAUAGCGGGAGACAAAUGGUGAAAGAAAGGACCGAAUGAGGGAGGAUGAAACUGUGGAAGGAAAAUAUCAUCUAGAUGUUUGAAGAGAUAGGAGGGUUGAAGUCAAAGAGCGUAAAGCAUAAAGCUUAAUGCAUCACUACAAGGUGCGCUGACAAGGUGUGCCCAAGCAAAUUUUGAUAUUUUGGUGAGCGGCGCAGCCCAGCGUAUGUAUCCCCCCUCCCUAACUCAGCUCCUCCCAGCGGCAUAAGUCGUAGAGAGGGCGUGGAGUGGGACCUGACCACAGCCGAGACCUGUUUUCGCCAGCUUGGCGGACCUCGGUGCGCCUCAGUCUGCGAAAAUACCAAGCGGCUGUACGCUGGGCUCCGCCAGAGGGAAAUACCACUGUGCGGGGUCUGCCACCCUCCGCCGCGUCACCGGCGGGCAGGAAAAUAGAGCCCUUAACCUUAGCUGUAAGCCAUCUCUAAUGACUCUUUGUUUGAUUUCGCUGUUUAUUUCAUGGAUUUUUUUGAAAGCAAUAAAAAGACUUUGAGGUCAAAGUAAAGGCUUGACUUGAAGGAUUAUUGUAUUUUAUUAAAAGGACUCUUCUUUGGCAAGAUUCAAAGAUUCAUCUUUGAUUCAUAAUGAAAAGGUUUGGAGAUAGUAGAAAAGUGCUCAAACUGGAGUUAAGAGUCUAACUUUGGGGUCAUAAGAUGAGAGUUUAUGACGGCUUCCUCUGUUAUAACACUGAGCUGAUAACAGUCUGACUCCUCAUACAGCCUCAGGAUCAGAAUAAACUCUCUACAAAGUUCACAGUUUCUCCUCUCUGUGCUUCGAUCACUAACACAGCUCACGUGGAGGACAUUUUUACUCACUGAUUCAUGUUACAUUUUUUGUGAAGGGGAUGUUUUCUAUUGAGGCUGAACACUGAACUCAAACACACCUGGUUUCAAAGACAGUAAGUUGUGGAGAGGAGCUCUUACCUGUCGUCUGCUUCAGCCUGAUGUGUUAUCUGUUUGACAUGUGAAGCUGCGGAGAAAAAAAAUUCCCUCAGACAUUUGCAGGUUUUUCUCCUGAGGCGAGAAAUUUCCUCCCAGAGGAAGUGAACACUAGAAUUGUGAUUAAUUAUUUAUAGACAGACAGUGUGAUAGGAGAGAGUGAGAGCAGACUAUGCUCAGCAGAAAUGUCUGAGUUUUUCUUUUCAAGUAGUUAGUUUCACUUUUAGAUUCAAUAAAAUAAAUCAAAUCCACGGUAACUAUAAAAUGUUUUCCAUCAUAAGGUUUAUCCUACAGCCCAGGUCAUGGUUUUCUUCUUUGAAAUCAUAAAAUAUGACAUGGCGCUAUAAAAUAGAAAUUUCACUAGAAUUAAAAUGCCUCUGAUACUUAAACCAAAGAGUGUAAUCCCCUUUUGCAAAGAAGUGAUGAAACAUUCAGUACGUUUACAUGACACUCAAGAAAACUGAAUUAUUGCCUUACUCUGAUUAAGACCGGACAAAGAAGUGCAUGUAAACACCUUAGUCCGACUAUAAGAUUAAGAUAUAUAUAUAUAUAUAUAAGAUUUUUUAUGUGUUACAGACCCCACACAUGAAGAAAAAGAUCAGGCAUUGAACAGUUUUGAUCGUACUCUGUGUGGUGUGCUCCGAUAAUAUUUUUAUUCACUUUAUUUGGUUCCUUGUCCCUCAGUCAGCUCGCUUCUUGAUUGGCUACAUUCCGUUUCACGUGACAAUUCACGGAGUCAUGAUUCGGGAGUCGUUGGCUUUCCCCACACGUGGAGAUUUUUGGUCGUAAAUAUUGAAAAAGUUUGGUAUUUACGAUUGUCGGCCCUGACCCGUUUUGGAUCCAUUUAUCGGGACAAAUUCACUCUUAAUACACCUCAGACCACAGGAUAAUCUUAGAGUAUAAUCUUAGAAGACAUAAGAUAAUCUUCCGAUUGUCGUCCUUGGUUGGGAGGGGGAAAAUCGGGACGAAAAAAGCCUGAUUAUCUUUAUGUGUGUACCCUGCUUAAGACACUUAGAUAAUGUGAUUGGAAUUCUAUUUUCUCUACCAUGUAACCAGUGUAGUUGGAGUAUGAUUGGACAAUGCACAUGCGCCACGCCCCCGUAACCCCGGAACAAAAACACCAGAGAAGAGAAGUGGCGUGCACCUCAUCUCCAGAAAAAAUAGCGCGUACAUCAUGUACGACAAAAGCAACGCUGCAUGCUGCUCCAUCUUCUUGCUCGAAAAAUGCCCAGCAGCAGUUGUAGCCUCUUCUGACGUCUGUUGUUGUUGACGAUUGUAUGGGGUCGAAAACAGUGCCGCUGAAAAGACCCAUAUCGCCCCCUAGUUUUGUGGAGGAAGACAUGUUCACAUCAAUAAUUCAAUUUUCUCAGCUGUAUGUAUAUACAGAGAAGGAGAGAAGUCUGAUUCGGCAAACAAAAACAAAUUAUGAGCUUAGUCCGAUUAGACUGUGCAUGUAAAUACACUGAUUGUAAUUUUACCACACACCCUGCACCAAACAAGAAGUCAUCUGUUAACUGUAUAUUAUACAUUAAAGAACAUUUCUGUAAAGCAGUAACACAAUAAUGCCAGAAGUUCCACUAUAGGAAAGACGCGAUGAUGCUGAAUACUAAGAAUCCUGUCUUGAUAAUGCCUGUUUUAUUUUCCACUAUGGCCUCAUACAACCAGAGAUAUUACAGGCAGAUAUAUACAUCAGCUGAAAUGGUAUGGAGAAAUAGAUGCUCUGCAGGGACAAAUGCACUGAAAUAUGAAAUUAUGCAUUCAUGCUGCACCUUGGAAUGAAUUGCAAAGUCAAUUUAAUGUGGAAGAGAGACAUAGGAGCCAUCGCAGGAAGGUAUUCAGUCUGUAUUUUACUCCUCUCAUGCAAGUUUUGAAUUAUACUGUCUGUUUCACUUUUCUGGUCGUUGCCAAUUUGGCUACAACUACCGACUAAUUUGUUCACUAGUUUAAGCGACAUUAAUUUCUGAUCAACCAAUUUAUUCUGCAGUCUUUCCACAUCCAAAAAGGACUGCUUCAAUUUGAAUGAAAGACUUCGAGAGAUAAAAUAAGACAGUGACAUUUUAGAGGAUGUAACUUUUAACUUGAAAUUCAAACCAAAUCAUCAAAAGAUGUUCAAAAUAUUCAGUGACUGAACUUUGAUUAAUUUAGCAAAAACACAAUUACAAUAAUGACCCAAUAACAACAAAUGAGCCAUAGAAGCAGUAAAUAAAGAGGAUGUAAAUCAAUUUAAAGAUCAGAAUAUUUAUUUCAGAGUCUUAAGGUUCUUAAGGUUCAAGCUUGGGGUUUCCAUAAACCACCAUUCAGUCUGUGAUGAAAAAAUCAUCUCAUUAGCUUUCAGAUAUUUGUGCUCGCAAAAGAGAAAAAUGGUUUGUUUAAAUGUAAAAGUAAGAGCUUAAAAGGGACCUUUUGACCUGGAACUGGUGGGUGGAGGUCUCAGAUGUGAUCGGUUGAUUAUAUGAAACAUAAGGCGCGAGGAGAUGAGAUGCAGUAUAUAUGAGAGAUAAAGUGAAAGAGCUUUUUCUGUAUAUUUGAGAGUGAGCAGGUGGAGGCACAUUAUGAGAAGAUUCAGUGAUAAUGCAGCUCAGAGGAGGACAGAGUCCAUCACCUCUCUGACAUGACAUGCUGAAGACAGCGACACUGUGUACAGUGUUCACAGAGGUCACUCUUCUAAUUAUACGUCCACAAGCGCCACACAACUACACCACCUCUAAUUCCGCCCUCCCUUACUUCUUUCCCUCCUGGGGAAACAUAAAUGGAAAUUAGCUCUGCUCUCCUGGGCAAGGGUAGGUGACAGUGAGGAAGAAAUACUCUCACCUUCUUCUUCACUGUCGUAUAAUAUCUGCCGCAGAGCUGUCUGAGUGUAAGAGAUAAGUUAUAGAUAAUGCACAUGACUGAAUGGAUGAAUAAAACAUGCUCCAGGCUGUCUGAUGACAGGUCAUCUCUGCAAAGCAAAAUACAAACAACACACAACAAAAGUUGUUGAGUUUUGGAGGAACGGCAUGCAGCUCUUGCAGGGAUGAUCUCCAUGACAACAGCCACAUUCUUAGAGAGGGGGAGAAGCAAUGUUACCGGACCGGGUAUCAUGGGAUUCAUGAAGGCAUAGCCAUUCAUCAGACGCAGAUUGGGGUCAGUGUUUACAGUGAGAAACAUGGAGGAAUAUAAAUAGCAGCUGCUGGGACAUGCAGUGACACACACACACACACACACACACACACACACACACACACACACACACACACACACACACACACACACAGAGUGAGUCCUGAUUUUCAUUCAGACUUGACAUUACUCUGUGAGAACAUCAUGUCCCUUCUGAGUCUCAUUUAUGCUCCUCCUGCAUGACCACAAAGUGACACAUCUGUCUUUUGCUCUCUUUCAGUGAAUUUAUCAUCUGGAUAUCAUGUCAACUAUUACACACACUUUUUAAAUAACAGCCUGUAACAUUAUGGGGAAAUUUCAGAAAACAUUAAAUAUGAUCUCAUGUCCUGAUUUUAGGCUGCACUAUUAUCCUGAGCGCAUAUUCACACCUUCCUACCUCUAUUGACUUUUUGCUUUACAUGCAGGAGAAACAGGACGCCUUUAUGCUUGUGAUGAUGAGCCAAAUCUCAAGUUCUAUGGCUUAACAUCAGGGCUGGGUGAUAUGGCCUCAAAUCAAUAUCAUGAUAUAUUGAGCAGUUCACUACUACUCCACAAGCUGCUCACCCCCUCCCACAUUAACUGUCUACUCCAGCCGCUACAACUUUUGAACCGUCCUCCAUCUCCUCACCUGUCUUUCCCUCUUUGUUAUGGACUGGAUGGGGUGGAGUCACGUCUCUGACAGCAUCUUAAAGGGACAUGAGACCAUAGCCUACCUACGCACAUCCAAAAUCAACUUUUAUUUAUUAUUUUUUGACAUCAAAUAUAUUGGCAUGGGCAAAAUGACGUCUGUUAUUGUUGUAAAUUUUGUUUUUUGUGAAUUUUCGGUUUAUCGCCCAGCUCUACUUAACAUACUCAGCUUAAACAAAACUGAAAUGACAGUCCGUUGAUACACUGAAUCAGCUUAUACUUAAGUUAACUAACCCUUGGUUGACAGAGACAGUUCUCUCUACUCUAAUGAAACUGAAGAGUAAAGGAUUGGAAAAUCUAAAAGCAGCAUGAUGUUGAGUUCAAUAACAAAGAGAUGAAGCGUGGUGUUAUUCUGACAGAUGUUUCUGCUCUCUCUGUCUGUUGUUGUUUUUUGUUGUUUUCGACCCCGACAUCCGUCAUUGACCAGGUUACAUCGAGAGUCAGCAGGUGUUGGUGAAAACACUGCUUGGUUGCAUCAGCGAGGAAUGAUGUCCUUUAGUGAAAAAGAGGAGGAAAAAGAUGAACGACACCGACGAUGAGAGAAAAGUGAUGCAGGGAGGAAGCAGGAACCAGAGUAUCAAAAACCCAAACUGCUAAGUUGACAGUGAAAGUAAAAGUCAGAUAAACUGGAAAGAAGCCAAGGGAGCUGUCAAGGAAAGGACAAAUUAUCAAAAUUUAAAGGACCACUCUCUUUUCAAUUCUUAUUUUUCUUUAAUAUUUCAAGAGUUUCAAAAAGUUCUGAUUAAGAUUUGACUCCAGUGCCACUCUUUCAGUGUGAUAAAGUCUCUUUAACUAGAAUUAAAGACAUAUUCACCUUGAAAGUUACUCCAUACUUUAAACAAGCUGAAUUUCAUAAAGUAUCUUUUUCCCACUUGGCUGUCAGUCGCCAGAUUUUCGUCGAUGAAGGUCGAGGUUUAUCAAAAAUGUAAAACAUCUGUUUUAUCCACGUCCUUCAGAUUUUCUGUUUGGCUGCUGACACUCUGAACAACCCCAGAGUGAGUUUCUUAUUAAUAAUAUAAUUAUCGUUUUAACAGAAAGAGCUGAGAACACCUAAAAAAAUGAAAAAGAAACUCUUGGCAUUCAUGAAUAGGUUUAGACGUGUUCGUGUGACAAUGACACAGAAUAAACCGACUGAAAGGCAGCCUUUAAAAAUAUCAUACUCCUACCAGACUUCAACUCUUUAACACUCUGACUGCUUUUUCAUCAUCUGUGGGUGGUCUGGUUUGACGUUUCCCUAAUAACAUCCCAAAAAUGUGUCCUGCAGGGUGACAAUUUUAGUUACAAUUCAGCUCCUGAGUAAGUGUUGGAAAAAUAACCUUUGAGAAUCUAUCUUUGUUCACCGUGACGAACAUUGACCCGAUAGUGUCAUUGUUAGUGUGACUGAAGUCUGAAAAAGCAGAGAAAGGACAGAAAAAGUACAACUGAUGUAAAAUAUGACGACACCCUCCUCCACAGAUGUGUGAAAAUGACCGUAGUGGGUGAGAAAAAGGGACGUGGUGGACCCUGUUGUUUCUCUUCACAUGCAGGUGACACUGGUGGGAGAUUCAUGUUUUAUUCUUUCAUGAACAUUUGAGAGUUGAGGAGCUUUAUUUCUAAAAACAACCGCCCGCAGUGUCGACAGACGAUUUCACACCACGUCUAUAAAAGCCUGUACGUGCCAAAGUGUCCUUUUUUCGUACUUUCUGUUCAAAGGAUUUAAUAAGGCUCCCUCUGACAAAGAAAAACAUCAAGAUCAGACAAGAAGUCGUCUUCAGGGUCACAUCUCAUGCAGCUUCACCUGCGUCAAGCGCUCAGGGGCUCAGUCACUCUAGGCCUGCACAUCUCUGUGUUGUUACUCUUUCUGUUUGUCUUCAUUUACAGAGACAGAGCAAAUAAUCCUCCAUCCCUUUACAUUUGCAAACCAAGAAAUUCUGUUUAUUUGUUCUGUUGUGUUCACACAGCAAAUGUUGACUGAGGGUGAAUUAAGUUUGUAUACAGAGUGGGAGAUAAUCUGAUUAGGAGCAUGGCCGUCUCACUUUAAAUAAAGGCCCUGUGGGUUUGUGUUAAAUGUUUGUUUUUUAACAGAAUCACAUAUAAUCCUAUUGCAAGGACACAGACGUUCACUGAUGGGUCAAUAUGGCUGAAAUACAUUUAGGAGUCCAAAAAGAAGAAGAAAAAGUUUGCAAAACUAAAUAAAAUGUCAUGAUUUUGCCAUCAAAUCAUCUAUCUUUAGUUUUUUUUUACUUUAACAUCGAUCACGCUGUCAAGUAGAAAAUAUGAGACUGUCGAGAUGAAUCUUCACAUUGUGCCACAGUUCUUCAGAUUUGACUUGUCUCACGGACUUUUAAAUGAUUUGGGAUUUUGUAAAGACACAUUUAACCCAUAAAGACCUGAACCCUGUCUGAGACGCGCCCCUGAAAUCCUGAGGGCCAUUUUAAGAAGGGCCCCAAGAUCCUGAGGUUUUCUGAAGUGUUGAGGUUUACAAAAACGCUGAUAUCUCAGCCUCUGGAGCAGAUAGAAACAAAAUUCAAAAAGUAUUUGAGAGAAUAACUAUCAUUUAUUUUUCCAAACUUUCAUCACCUUAUUGAAAACCUUGAACAAACAAACUCAAAUGAAGUAAAGCGGCUGUAUAAUUAAAAGUAAAGGCUCUGCACUUUGCUUUCUGUAAAACAGGUGUUGAAAGGGUAAACAGCUGCCCGAGUAUAGUGCCAGUACAAAAGCAGCACUAGAAAUUAAAAAAUAAAUAAGUGACUGACAGUGUGUUCAUCUCUGUGCUCACCCCAAAGUCAUGCAACACUCACAGAAAUCGCAGAUAGUGUAAGUCAAAGCACUCAAUAUGAAGAGGUUGUUCACACUGCUGGAUGCUUCUUCUCCGAAGCUGCUCUCUGCCUCCGUCGUUGUUUACUUUCCUCACGAAGCACAGAGCAAGAUCCGAGAAUGAAUCCGAUCGCUUUACUCGCCUAUCGGAGGCAGACGGGUAUGGUGAUUUGAUUCGCCACGACUCCAGAAAUAAUUAAAAAACCACAGAAUGCUACAAAAUGACGUAUCCGCGCUCCCAGCAUAAAGGGUAGGAAUGCGCAGUGGCGCUGCUGGCUUGGAAGGUUGAAAUGCGUACACGCUGCUUCAGGCUUGAAGGGUAGAAAUGCGUACAUGCACCCGGCUUUCCGAGUAGAAAUGAGCAGCCACACUUGAAGGUUGAAAUGCGUACAUGCUGUCCCGGUUUAAAUGGGUUAAAAAUGUUUUGUAAAUGAGUUCAUGGAUACACACCACUGGAACGGCAUCCAGCUCUGCAGAGGGAAGUAUAUUUCUUGGGGAUGUUGAAGUGGUUUUCUUGUAUCUGGUCGGAACGCCUCCUGAUCACCCGGAGGAGGGCCAAAGGCUGACCCACAACUUGUUAGAGGGAUUAUUUGUAGCUUGUGAACAACUCGAAAAGUCCCAGGAGAAACUGUGAGGAACGUCUGGCUUAACUCCUGCUUCGAACACAACCUAUCACUGAAUUGGCAAACGGAAAUAAGUGGAUGGAUGAAUGAAUAGAUGGAUUAAUGGAUGAUUUCACCCUUUAGCUCCCUGUGUGCAAAAAGCAGCUACAUUUAUUAGUGAUACCAUUUUACAGUCUCUUUGCUCUGGGGAUUUUAGACAUCCCAGCUCUUUUAUCACUAUGGCAACAAUGAUGUUUCGGCCCUGCAGCCAUGUUUUUAAUGUGUCAUCACCAACAGUGCCGUGACCUGGAGUUUGAGUGCUUUCUGGUUGAAAAAGGAGGUCUGUAGUGAGAAACUCCUCUGGGACCCCAAAGAUCAGGAAAGUGCCCUCAGAAAAAACAUCAGGAGGAAUCUGCUAGAUCUCCGACCGCCCACGCACGCCCGCCACUCUCUGUGUCGAUAUGUCUCUGGUUUCUCACUCACUGCCUUGAAGCUCAUGUUGAAAAUCUUUCCUCCCGUUUUACUAGAUUUUGUCCUUGCCUGUGUGUGAGGGAGAAGCAGAGACGUAAAAUUAAAUUCAAAAAAUGUGAAUUUAACCACAAAAAGCCCCUGGCUAUCACUGCUGUGCCCUCUCUUCUGCUCUAACACAAACUCUCCUCCUCUUUUUUCACCCUCAGACUGUGAUUUUUACACUAAAUGUUUCCUCUCAGCCAUUUGUGGCUGUUAGGGGGACACUGACAGCUGCUGUGAGGCAUGCUGGGAAAUGUGGGAAAUGUUUCCUGAUGAACAGACCAACCCAAACCUCCAUGAACUAAGCUUUUUUUUUUCUCAGACUGGCAACUAUCCCUCAAUCUGUGUUUCCAUUUUCUGCCUCAGCUCCAGCAGAUAUCUGUGGAAAAUCCAUCCACUCUAUUUCUGUGAACCAUGACUAAUUCUUUAUUUGAUUUUCUCUUUUAUUUUGACAGCCCACUAUUUAAAUCAGUCGGUACCUGUUUAUUUUUUAUGAAGCACAAUUUAAGUUUUUAUUUCUUCUCAUUUUAAAUCAAAUCAAAACUGUUUCUUCAUUAUCCCUGCAGUAAAUCUUUUACAAGAGUAAGAAUCAUGAUUUUGUGUGUUUGUUUUACUUUGAGUGUAAAGUUAACGCAGCAGAGUUAAGCAUGGUAUAUUCUUCUCCAAUAAAUAUUAAAGGGAUAUUCCGCUGUAAAAUAAAGUCAUGGUCAAACACACCGUAACACCGAGUUAGACACCCUGUCGAGAGAUGACAGUUGCCGACCGCUUGCUUCUCGAGUUAUACCAACUUUAGUAACGACCGCACGAUAGCAAUACACAGCAGUCUGAGGAGCCAUAAACGAACCUCAACCAAAACGCCACUCUAUAGCCACAAAUAAUGCUCAGAACAGCACCUAACUUCAUCAACAGUACAUAUAGGGUCCCAGCCAUAGUACUAGCCACCAAACAUCUUUUUAGCUUUGACUAAUUUCUUCAGCAAAGAGACUAAACACAACUCACCUACUCUCUUCCAGUAGCCACUUGUUUGUAGCAAGACCUUGGGCUAGUCCAUUACAGACUGCAGCGGGGGAACACAGCUCAAGGAAGAACAUUUAUGGUAAUUUCUACAUGGAAAUGCGAUCAGACCGAGACGUUAAAGCAGAAGAACUACCGCGUCUGCAGUGCAAAAGGAUUAAUAUGGUGAUUAUUACUUCAGGGAAAUGAUAAAGUAAUGAUCAUAAAUGUUCUUCCUUGAGCUGUGUCACCCUGCAGCAGUCCUGGCCUGAGGUCUCGCUACAAACAAGCAGCUGCUGGAAGAGAGUAGGUGAGUUGUGUUUAGUCUCUUUGCUGAAGAAAUUAGGCAAAGUUAAAAAGAUGUUUGGUGGCUAGUACUUUGGCUAGGACCCUAUAUGUACUGUUGAUGAAGUUAGGUGCUGUUCUGAGCAUUAUUUGUGGCUAUAGAGUGGCGUUUUGGUUGAGGUUUGCUUAUGGCUCCUCAGACCGCUGUGUAUUGCUAUCGUGCGGUUGUUACUAAAGUUGGUAUAACUAGAGAAGCAAGCGGUCGUUAACAUAUAUCUCUCAAGGGGGUGUUACGGUGUGUUUGACCCUAACAUUAAUUUUACACCAGAAUAUCCCUUUAAUCUUCAUCCAAAAAAGCAGGGCUGUGUUUGUUUGAAUACAAGCAGCAGAAGACAGAGAAAGGAAGUGAAUCCCACCAUUCAUCCUCUGUAGUCUCAUCAGCAGCUGCUCUGCGGCCUCUAUCCAAUAACCUUUCUAAUCACAGCCCAAACAAGCCAAUCAAUGCUCUUAUUGCCUUAAAUAGAAACAUCUAUUUCUCAGAUGUGAACCUAAUCAUAAAUGCCCUUGUUGUCCUGCAGCGCUGGAAGUUCACACUCUCUCUCUUCAUUUGCAGUGAAUAAUGAUUUGACAUCAUUAUUUCCUAAAAUGCAGCUGUUGUAAACAGUGUUACAGCUGCAGCAUCAAUACAACUUAAUCUCCUCCAGUCUGAGUCUGACUUCAGUGCAGUGGGAGCAGGUGAGCAUUUACCUGACCAGUUCUGGGGUCAGUAUAUUCAGACCUCUAGUGUACGGGGAUCUGCUUCACAACUGAACAUGGAUACACAUUGCAAAAAUUUCCCCAAGCUUCAGAAAACAACAUUCAAAACCUUUCAAUGUUUUUUCAUAAUUUGUGUUUUAUAGCUGAAAGCUGCUUGUCCCAUUACUGAUAUGAGCAUGACUAAUGACUACAGUGAAACUUGUGAAUGAGCUGCAGGAAGAAAAAAAAAACAAAAGCUACAAAGAAAGUGUAAUUAUGCAUAAAAUCAAAGUGAGUUUUGGUUUAGAGCUAGUAGCAUGCGUUACAUCAAACAAGCCUUUUUUUCCCCUAAUAAAAUACAUUUAGGGUGGAUUGCUCCUGGCAGAUGAAGCGCUUUCUUCUACCCCCUGAACUAUGUUUCAAUGUGUUGCCAUUGACAACCCCUGCUGGCAAUGAUCCAGGUCAAGAAGUGACCGUUUGAAGAUGAUGUAAUUUCAAAUUGACAUAAAGGGGAGUAAAAUGAUCCCCUUGCUGAUAUAUAAUUAGACAUGGCUUGUUAACCGUGUAAUUACAGAUGGAUUUAAUCAUAGGAUGAGGUCUGAGAUAGACAAGGACAAUGUGCAGGUCAGUUUUAAGUAGUAGGUGACAUUACAAUGUCCUAGUAAAUGACAUUAAAUAGGGUUUGAUGGUUUUUAUUUGCAUUCACUGUUGCACUAAAUUGGUUUCCAGGUGUGCAAGUAUGAUGGUGUGAAUCGUAGACAAUGCAAAGUCAUUUCUUUGAGCUUUGAAGCCAAAAUACUGCCUUAGUGAGCGCAGACAUAUUGCUUGGAUGGAGCAAAAUCACAGGCAGAAGUGAUCUAGGAAGUGAAACAGAGGGGCUGACGUCAACCCCCACCUGCUAACCAAAACAAAAACUUACUAAUAAUAACAUCAAAUAUCCACAGUCCACAGCCGAACAGAUUUUUGUGUUGGUUUGAAGCAAACACUCAUGAUUAUGGAAAGUUCAAUCACUCCAGAGUCGGUGUUCAUUAUGUUUCCUCUCUCCUCUGCCAAUCUGUUCAGAAAAACAAUGCAGGAGAGUGAAUUCAUCAACAGAGCUGUCAAUCUUUUCGACAACUAAUUAACUGAUCAAAACCAAACUUCUCCAAGACAUGAAAACCAGCACUUAAACUAGAAUGAUCAAAACAACUGCUGUGAUACAGAGCAUGUUUCACUUGGACUCAUGUUCCAUCUGUUAUAAUGUUGGAGACAGGCUUUCUGAGCAGAGAUUGUACCUGCCCAGGGCCGUUUCUUUGAGUUAAGAACACAGGGGGCUCAGCCUGGUUCCCAACUUCACAAAAAGAAGAAGUCAAAGGAAGAAAACCAUCGCGGCCAUAAAAGGGAUAUUUGACCUGGAGUAAGGAUCAUAUCUCUUUUAGUACCUCAGUAGAUCAGCUGGUAAGGAGUCUGAACGAGAUCAGCAAUUGCGGUGAAGAACACAAAUAUUAAAAGUUUGAGUGUGAAACACAACAGACUUAAAGACUGGAACAACCAAUACCAAUAUUUCUAAACGAUUGAAAGAUAAAAUUAAUUUAAGGUCAGAAAAUGACAACUAAAACUAAUGACUACAAUUUAAUUACUUUUUAAUGACCAUAACUGGACUUCAGUGUUUGAACUUUUAAUCAAUCGAAACUAGGCUUAUACUAUUUAAAACAAAAUGACUAAAAUGUAAGGCUGGGCAAUAAACCGAAAAUUUACAGACACUGAAAUUUACGACAAUAACCAUUGUCAUUUUGCCCAUAUUGGUAUAUUCCGUGUCAAAAUAAUUUAUAAAUUACAGUCGGUUUUGGAUGUGUGUAGGUAGGCCAUGGUCUCAUGUCUCUUUAAGACGCUGUCCUACGUCAGAGGCAUGACUCCACCCCAUCCAGUCCGUAACAAAGAAGGAAAGACAGGUGAGGAGAUGGAGGACGGUUCAAAAGUUGUAGCGGCUGAAUGUGGGAGGGGGUGAGCAGCUUGUGGAGUAGUUAUUGUCCAUUUAUCGUUAUAGGUGAACAUUAUAGGUAGAUCCGCAGAAGACGUUGGAUAUAAACGAUUUCUGUCGACUUUGCAAAGUCAACUGCAGAAUUAAUGGCGUUCUAAAUGAACGGCGCUUUGAAAAGUCCUGCAGCAUGUGUUAGACGUCACCAUCUACACAUGGACCAAUCAGGGGCUGCAAUAGGGCGCCAUUUUGAAAUUAGCCAAAAGGAUGUGAAGAGGGUGAUCACCUGAGCUGUCAGCUGACUGAGGGCUGGCUUAAGAUCAGCUGACUGUAGCCUGUAGCUUGACUCCGUGUCCCGCCUGAACUACCGCUAUGCUUCAUUUUAGUCCAAAGAUUUAGAUGAGGACCAAAUCUAAAAUAGCUGACAAAAUUAACUGUUGUCUGUCAACCUUCACCCUUUUGAUCAGCUACUAGGUCCUACUUAACUCAGCUCCAUUCAACUUCAAUAGCCUACAUGUCACUUCUCAAGUAUGCAACCCAAAGUCAUUCACAAAGAUAGAAAGAAAAGUCAAAAUAUACAACAAGUUUGUGAAAAAACUCACGAAUGAACAAAAAAAAAAUCUGUUAUAGUAAAAGUUUUAGUGAUGAAGUGUCUUCAACAUGGCUGCCAGGGUGCAUAAAUCCUGCCAGAUCCAGAGAUGAGAGUGUGUCUGUGUGUCUGAGAUUGUGGCUUCUUGGUUUGUGGGGUCAGAGAGAGAGCAGAAAACAGGGACAGAUGUAAUCAUUUUUGACAGAGUGGAGAGGAAUAGAGGAGAGACACUCAGCUAUUCCACAGUAUCCCACUAUCGCUACAUGUGGGUGUGUGACUCAGAGAUAAGAAAACAUCUAUUCAAUAAACCAAUAAUAACAGACAUGACAUACACAACUUCUAUUCACCAUCUCUGACCAUGAAGAAAACAAACAUAUAUCCAUCAGUACACCUCUCAUCUUUAUGCUCAACACGACUCAGACCAGAGGGAAGUUUUCUUGGCUUUCUGUAACUUUGUGUAUCUUGACAAUAAAAACAAAAAAAGAGGCCACAUGUCUCACACAAUCACUGCUUUGAAAGUCAGAGUAAUUAAGACACAAACAUUUGAAUUAAUCAAUAUCUUCUGCAAAAAGUGACAAAUAUAUUCUGUCAAAAUAAAUAAAUACUGCAGAGAUGUAUCACUCCUUAUCAGACAGCACACAAUUAAACAGAUACAGUCUGAUCGCACAGUCUGAUGCCCGCCUCCUCUUGCCACAUUAAACAGAAUAAUGUCGUUCUAAAAAUAAGAUAGGUACAUCACAGAAUGACUAAUGACUUCUGCAAAAUGAUAGAGAUAAAUCAAAUGAAGCCUCUUUUGCUAACCAUGAGAUGGCACUUUUUUAUCGGUCUGUCAUAUUAUUGUUGUGUCGGUCAAUUUCAGUAACAAAAUAGUCAUCUGAACGGAUAUUAUAUCUAAAAGCAAAAAUGGAGAAGUCUAGAUAGCACAGAUUUUAUAGGAAGGAGCAGUUAACGUACUUGAUAAUUACAUGAAAUCAACCCGUUUCUUCUUCCAGCAGUUGGAUUAAAAAGAUCUUUGUUCAUGAUCUGUGUUCAUAAAAGUCUAACAUGGGUUAAGUCUGACUGAAAACCUGUCAUUUCUCAGAAUGAAAUGACUGUGUGGUUCAACACACAGGCAGCUGAGUGUUAUGAACAGGUACAUUCUGGAUUCCUGACUUAUAUCAUUAAAUAAGUUUCAUAGUGAGUCUAUGUCUGUCUUUGUGGACAAUAACUGAUUGUAUUAUAAACAUAGAUCAAAUAAUAAUAAUAAAUUUUAUUUAUGAUGCACUUUUACAGGUGCUCAAAGACGCCUUACAAAGAAAAAGAAGAAAACAAAAUAAAAAGCAAUUUGAAAUACUGAAAAUUUUGAGAAAUAAAACCAACAAUGUAAAAGGUUAAAAAAGAGCAAAGAUUUUGAUUUGAGAUCAGUAAACUCAUAAUAAAUUUCUACAUUAACAAAAACAUGCUUGCCCACCAUGUUGAUGAUGAAUAUUGUUCUGACUCAGCAGGUAUUCGUGAGCAUUUUCUAACCUGGGAACUUGUUUUUCGGAUUUGUUCAACACCACAUAAAUUCAGCAUAAUACCUAGGGGUGUGCUGAUGCACCUUUUUCACCUCCAAUACAAUACCGAUACUGUAGCCUUCAAUAUUGGCCGAUACUGAUAUUGAUCCGAUAUUAGCACAAACUUGUGCAUGACAAGUUUUGCACUCAGCUGCAACAGGGCCGACAUCACUCCUACUCCUUACUACUUUGUUUGCACCUUUAGUACACACUGUUGUUGUGAUCACAUGGACUCUACAUGCUGGAAUAUGGGCGCUGCUAGAUAGAGGUAAUGGAGCGGAGUCUGGAAUGGACUGCUUCAAUCGGAGAGCUGAUAUCAGAGAUUUUAGAUGCAGGCCUAUAUAAUCUGAUAUUCAAAUUUUUGCUGAUAUCGGUCCAAUAUCCGAUAUCAAUAUCAUAUCGGAAUACUCCUAAUAAUACCUGCCAUUUUCCUUCUUUGUUUCUUUGGUGUGGCAUCUUCAUAGCUUGUGCUAAGUUCAGGCACUAAGGGAAGACAUAUAUUGAUGGUGUGCUUUCAGAGUCCGAAAGGUUUUAGAGGGUCUGGAACAAACAGAGUGGAAACCUGACUGUGCAUGUGUCACAGACUGGACUGGAUUUAUGGAUUAUGGAUGAGGGGUUCAGCAGGGGUCAGGUUUACUGUGAACAGGCCUCCUUCCAGCGCAGUGCAGGCAGAACAGGGGAGUGUGGACACACGGUCAUAACUCAGAGUGCACUCAGCAGUCAACUCUGAUUGACCCGAGAUCUCCUCUUCCUAAAUGGUCGAGGGGAGACACAGACCAUGAAGCUGGAAGAGGAGACAGAGAAAAUGAACAUGUAGGAGUGCUUCAAACAGAACUGUUUCAUUCUGUCUGACAAAACGUCUCUGUCUGUCUGCAGGUGGAGAGUACUGAGCUCUGAAGUAGUUCACUGAUUUACUGAUGAGCACAGAGACUGGAGAUCUUUUUUCUAUAAUAGUGAGGCUGGGAGCUGUAUCAUUUAGUACUCACUGCUUUUUUUCCUGUUAGUACCCUGUUAUUACACAGUAUAAUCUCAGGUAUGUCCUACUUCAAGCCUACAAUGUCCCUCUCUUUUCCCUCUUUUUCUCUUUUCCUCAUGGAAAUGCAAUCAGACCGAGACACUGAGGCAGAAGAACUAACAGUGCAAAAUGAUUAAUAUGGUGAUUAUUACUUCAAGGAAAUGAUUAAGUAAUGAUCAUAAAUGUUCUUCCUCGAGCUGCGUCACCCUGCAGCAGUCUGUAAUGGACUGGCCCGAGGUCUCGCUACAAACAAGCGGCUGCUGGAAGAGAGUAGGUGAGUUGUGUUUAGUCUCUUUGCUAAAGAUGUUUGGUGGCUUGUGCUGAGGCUAGGACCCUAUAUGUACUGUUGAUGAAGUUAGGUGCUGUUCUGAGUAUUAUUUGUGGUUAUAGAGUGGCGUUUUGGUUGAGGUUUGUUUAUGGCUCCUUAGACCGCUGUGUAUUGCUAUCGUGCGGUCGUUACUAAAGUUGGUAUAACUAGAGAAGCAAGCGGUCAGCAACAUUCAUCUUUAGAGGGGGUGUCUAACUC